rnacentral:lncRNA from 1 species
UUUUUUUUUUUAAAAAAAUAAACUCGGCGUCCAUCAUAUUCCAUGAGACGAUUUACUACUUUCUCUUAAGCACCCUAAUGCUUUCUCAUUAUUCUUUUUUUUUUGCUCUCUACCACCACAUUUUCCUCUCGUCUCGAGCAUCCCCUGGCCAUUCUUUUUUCUUGCAGGUGAGAGGGUCCCACUACCCUAAACACCACGUACACAGUGGUAGGCAUUGUCUCUCGUAAUCCAGGGACGGAGGCAGGAUCAUAGUAUCAGGGGGCCAAUCAAGUUAUUUUAUACAAACUAUUAAAUGCAAAGGGUCAAAUACUAUAAGUUUCAGAGUUUUUUAAUACAAAAUAUACAACCAUAUAGUGCUAAUGCUUUGAGCAUAGGGGAGGCCAUGGCCCUGGCAGCCCCUCCCUAGCGCUCCGUACCUGCUCGUAUCUGUCUGCUUAUAAUCCCUCCCUCCCUCACACACAAAACUUGAAGAUAAAUCAUAUAUUGCAUAUGUUGACCAGAUACUCUACGAUAGGUAUGAUGAUGUACACAAAGUAUAUAAAAAAUAAUGAUAUGACAUCAUCUAUCAUGCCACGACGAGCUGAGCUACAACACACAACUCAGUCGUCUUCACUGAUGUGCACUAUCAUAGGAACAUUUGACCUGCGAAUGAAGAACCUCCAAAAGCAAGAAACGACAUACAUAUGAAAGCACCGCGGAUCGACACGCCUUUAUAAUACAACAGGCGCCAACAUGCGUCACCACUAGCUACUCAGGCACCCACGAGCGUGCCCCCCGUUCAGGAGGGUCGUGGUCUAGCUAGUGCGAGCAAGGAUCAGUGUGGAGCCAAGGGCGAGAGGUGGAUUGUGCAAGGAUUGGAGGACUACAACGAGGCAAGAUACUGUUGCAUUGUGAGCGGUGACGGGAUCCGAUUCCGCGCUGGAUGGAGAGCGUAAUCCUGAUUCUACUCCGCCUUAAUUAUUCAUUUGCGCGUACUGGUACCUGAACCGUCCCACCCUAAUAACCAAAUAAAAUGUAACGUGAUUCCUUGUCAUUGUGAUCGGAUCCCAUCCCAAAAUGGUCCAACCAAACAACACCCUGUUUGAUUGUACGCUUUAAACAUAUGGAAACCUGUAGUGCGAUUUGGCCAUUUUCCUAUAUCUAGCUCCCUCCAACAAAUGCAUGCCCGUGUUUUGUGAUGGUUUUCAAAUUUUGCACCAAAUAAUCGUUUCAUUUCCCACACAAAGUAAGCAACAUAACAAAAAAAACAAUGCAUGUACAAUGUACUUCGUAAGCUAAUAGGAUUAAAACAUGUGUUAAUUAAAGGCAAAGUUAGAACGAACAGUCACAUGAUGAGCAAACAAGCUUAAUGAUGGAUAAGUAAUGGACUUAAUAACAUGUUUUCGGACAUUUGGACAACAUCAUUCUUCUUGGCUACGCGCUACUCCUCUCUCCCUGAUGAUCAUGGAGUACGAACAGUCACAUCAAGCUUGAACGAACAGUCACAUGGAGUACGUCGCUGAUGAUCAGGGAGGACGCAGCCACUCCUUUAAGCGUAAACUCGGAGCGCCUGCAGCUGGCUGCUGCUGUUGGCCCCAGGAUGUUAUCGACAUGAACCGAAUUGUGCGUAGAGAGAAAGAUUGACAGAUCACCCAAGAAACACUCAAAUUUCAUACCUAUCAAUCAAUCAACAACAGUCCGAAAUCCCUCCGAUGCCGAGCCUUCACUUUCCUUGCAUGCAUCCUUUUCUUCUCCGUGUAUAUAUCCACCUCAGGCGUGCAUGCUAGCUCUCGCCAUUGCGAGAUCAUUCCGAGCCGAGGUGUAUAGAUGGAGGACGAGAAGGAGGUGGUGGCCAUGACGGCGCCGGAGGCGGAGGCGGAGAGCGUCUGCGGCGAGGCCGGUGGGGAGCGGAAGAGGAAGAAGAAGACGCUGGGGCGGCAGAAGAUCGAGAUCAAGCUCAUCGAGAGCCGGUCGGCGCGGUACGUGUGCUUCUCCAAGCGGCACGACGGCCUCUUCAAGAAUGCCGUCGAGCUCGCCGCGCGCUGCGGCGCGCACGUCGCCAUCGUCGUGUUCUCCCGCGCCGGGAAGCCAUACUCGAUCGGGUACCCCUCCGUGAACCCCGUCGUCGACCGCUACCUCGACCCCGCCUCUGCCUCCGCCGCCGCCCCGUGCGCGGCCGCGGUGGCGCGCCUGGCGCCGAUCCUGCGCGAGUACGAGAGCGAGAAAGAGCGCCUGGAAAAGGCCAUGAAGGCGGAGGUGAUCAAGCGGAAGGCGCUCGACGCGGCGGCGCGCGCGGCCGGCGUGCGGGCCGCCGCCGACGACGUGUGCCGCGCGGGGAUACCGGAGCUUCUCGCCAUGCUCGCCGCGCUCGAGCGGGUGCAGGCCGAGGCGGCGGAGCGCGUGCGCGAGGCCACCGUCGAGGAGGUUAUGAUGCAGCAGUGUGCGGGCGGUGGGUGCCAGCGACCACGCCUUCCACUACCCCACCGCCGGCGCGUUCACGGCCGACAGCGGCGCCGGCAGCAGCCACCCCGACCCCGGGGCCAUGGACGCGCAGACGACGAUGCUGAUGGGCGGCGACGUCGACCAUGCGCCGAUGCAUUUUGCCUCGAUGAUGCUGCCUACUUAUUAUCUUCCGCCGCCGCCUUUAAACUAUGGCUCCAACCACAACCAACUCGCAGGCUAUGGCUACAACUACGACCUUGGAGACGGCAGCGGCCAUGACGCUGCGAAUGAAUUGGAAGGGUACUACUACUACGGGACGACGACGACCUGCAACUUCUUUGGAUAGCAACGCGUCAGUUUGAACAAUUAAUUAUUAAUUCUAUCUGGAUCCGAUGCACUUCUGUUUCCAUGCGCGUUCUCUUCCUCACCGUCCUCAAGGUCCGGGACCCCACCACCCGCCUCGUCUCCACGCGCCUGGCGGGGGUCGCCCCGCGCCUCACCUUCUCGGCCAUCUCCCUCCAGCUCAACGUCACAUUGUUGCUCACCGUGGCCGUGCACAACCCCAACCCGGCCUCCUUCGCCUACGACUCCGGGGGCCGGCGGCCAUUGGCACGGGCAUCGCUACGCCAGGGCGGCAGCGAGCUGCUCGGCGGUGCGCGCCAGCGACUGGUGGUUGCCGCGCACGAUGGUGUCCACGAACGUGCGUGUCUCGUCCGCGUGUUCCCGGGCGGCACGUCGACGACGUACGACUUGACCACCACGGUGUGGCCGGCGGCGGCCUCGUGCACGGUGGUGACCGACCGGUAGUUGGCGAGUCGGUGCUCCCCGCCGACGACCCGGAAGCUAAGCACGCGGUGCUCGUCAUCGAGGAUCUCGAGCUGCUCGUGGAUGCUGGUGGCGGGGAGGCCCGACACGACACGCACCUCCCGCACGGAGCCCAUGGCGCCGCCGUCGCCGUCCACGAGGCGGCAGCUUCGGAUGAAGUGCUUGUACGCCUGCGGCCAGUCGAAGCGCCGCACCACCAACCAGACCGCCCCCACGGGCACUGCAAUCGCCUGCACCACCGCCGAGCAGCACUGCCCCGGCGCGCAUGGUUGGCUGGAGGUGGAAGAAGAGGGUGGGUCCUACCGGUCAGAGAUAGAGAGGGAGGAAGAGAGGAAAAGCAUCGGCGCUCGGAGAAGAAAUGCAAGGGUACUAUGGUCAUUUGUCAUGCUCAAUCCACCCUGCUGCAUGGAUGUGGCUUGACACGUCAGCAAAAAUAGCAAAUGUGUUGGUAAAACUUCUUUCCGGUGGCAAAUAUGUAGGUGCUAUUCUAAAACUAGGAGUUUUCAUUCUAAGAGGGUGUUUGGAUCUUUAGUCUGGACUAAAAUUUAUAUCACAUCGAAUAGUUAGAGGUUAAUUAGGAGGACUAAACAUAAGCUAAUUAUAAAACUAAUUACACAAACGGAGGCUAAUUCGUGAGACGAAUCUAUUAAGCCUAAUUAAUCCAUCAUUAGCACAUGUUUACUAUUCAUCACAUUGUCAAAUCAUGGAGUAAUUAGGCUUAAUAGAUUCGUAUCGCAAAUUAGCCUCCAUCUGUGCAAUUAAUUUUGUAAUUAGUCUAUAUUUAAUACUCCUAAUUAGUAUAUAAACAUUCGAUCCUAAUUAGUAUAUAAACAUUCGAUGUAAUUUUAGGAGAUUGCUUGGAGGUGGAUCGGAGCCGUUGCCUGUUGGCUCCGUGGAGAUCGACCGCUCAGAUGCGCCGGCAGGGUUCGUCACUCGCUGUGUCGUGUCGAGGUCGAAGGCACAAACAUUGUCUUUACGCUUUCUCAUGGAGGGAAAAACUACCGUGUCACACAUCUAGCUGCAAUUGGGGAUUCGACAAACAUUUCUACUUCCGAUCCACUGCUUCAAAAGCAAACAUCGUCAGAUUAAAAAAAUAAGGUAAAGACUAGCAAUCGGCCGGCCAUUUUUUAGUCUAUCUGCACGGCCUCAAAAAUCUUACCGCUCAUAUAUGAUAAAGUAGUAUGAUCCCUACUCCCUGCAUUUCAAAUUGUAAAUCGUUUUAACUUUUCUAGGUUCAUAAAUAUUAUUAUGCAUCUAGACGUAAACUUAUAUCUAGGUGCAUAACAAAAAUUACAAUUUGGGACGAAGGAACUUACAAGAGCUUAUCCUCUCGCGUGCGCUGCCAGGCGUCGUCGUCGCCAUGGAUGCUCCUUCCCAGUCCCCAGACGUGCGCAAUUUUUCUGUUCUGGUUUUGGGAAUUUUUCAUAUCCGGAAUGUGUUACAUCAUAUUGUUGUUAUUUUGGGUGUGUGGCUGAUAGGUAUUUCAAUAAUAACUGAUAAACAUUUCAAUAAUGCCCUGGAAUGAUUUCUGAUUUAUCUGUCAAGUAUUUUAGUUGUGCCAACAAUUGGGUGGUUUUGGGGUAGUUUAGUUAUUUCUUCUCAUUGGAUAACAGGAGCUCAUCACUUGUUUGAUUGGGUCGACACAAUAGCAACAUUGGCAGCAAUUUGUUUUGCCAUCGCAACAGCAGCAAUGUCUAUCAUUAGCUCGGCCAGCUAAGCAGCCCAACACUGUAGCAAGGUUUCAAAUGUCAAGUAAUGGAAGGUCAUUUUUUUUCAUGGUAUAGUGAUGCAACUGCUGGUUCCAUUGUUUAAUCAUUACUUGCUCGCGUUUGGUCGUUCAGUUGAGUAGUUGUUUAGUUCAUUCACUAAAAUGAAUUUUAGCUCAUGUGGCUUUUGUUCAUCUCAUUUGAUCUGUCCAUUAGCUUUGUUGAUAUCUUCUGCAGAUUCUAAGAAUCUUCAAGCAAUUGAACAACGAUGAGAAGAAGCACCUUAUGUAGACGAUCUAUCCAUGAAGUACUACUUUUGCUAGGGUUUCGUCUAGAUUGUGCCGUUUCUAUGAAGUAUGAAGAAACAAUGUUUGUUUUGGAUCACGUUAAUUUGCUUUGUACAUUUGUUCUACAUUGCUUCUGAGUUUGUUAUAAUAUUCAUUCAACUUUUAACAAAAAUGCGUAUGAGAAAACCAUCAUUAAAAUAUAUUGUGAGAUCUUGUUUUGUAGUUUUUGUUGAGCGCAACCCAAUUCUGAAAUCGGAUUUCCAUUUUAAUGCACGGUUGUAAAACUAUGGUUUUUUAAACUUGCGAUGGAGUUGCAUGCGCUGAUUUAAUUUAAUGUGUGUUUGGUUGGUUGUAUCAUUUGAUUCAUGUAUAAAAUGGUUCAAAUAAUAAUGAUCCUUUUUGUUUGAUUGGGUAAAUCGUACCAACUCAUCUAAGAUGAAGCCAUCCCACUUAAUAUAUUAUUCUACUAAUAGGAGUAAACUAUAAGAGUACAAGUAAAUUGGUUAAACCCACCAUCCAGGAUCAAUCAUGCAUGAGGUGAUUCCUCAAAUCAAACAAUCCCGUAAUGCUUGAACUAAUAUUCAAAAUUACUGCUAAUUAUUCAUGGUAGCCUAGAAAAAUCGUUCCCACCUAGUUCCUUACCUUUGCAGGACUGUUCACUACUACUAUUCGUUCUUCAUCUUCGACACACAAUAUAUUUCCAAUAUAACUUGUGGUACUUAAACUUGAUGAAUAUUAGUAUGCCAUUUAAAUACAUAUCUGUAAAUCCCUAAACUUUGAAGUGUGUCAUUUGAGGUCUAAAUAACCCUACUUAUCAAGUAAUUACAAAAUGUGACAUUGUAGCAUGGAGCCAGAAAGAUCCCAAUGUCUCAUAUCGCUGUCACCUCUACCUUCCUCAUAUUGCCAUCACCAAAAUCCAUGCAUGAGGGAGUGAUAAUAGAAUACUGAAGAGACGAGAGAUGAAGAGGGUGAUACCGACACAGACGAUCAUGGUUGGGUGGUUCUAGGGAGAGCGAUCUUUUUGUCACCGGCGCUCGAUCGGCGAAGAACUCCCAAGAAUAAAUUCCAAGAACAUAUGAACUGGAACAACCAUUUCUAGCAAUCUCCUCAGAAAGUCAGAACCUUCAAUGCAUCCAACCACCUGAAUCCAUCGACCUCAACCCGUCCACAUCUCUCGUUGCAAUUGACAGUGACAGCAGCAACAUGGCUUACGGUGAUGCCAAGCAAUCUAUCUCAACCAGCUCCAAAGCCUCCUCCCCGCUCAUCUCCUCCCACGGCUCCACGGCGGCAGCGGCGAGCUCCUGAUCCGCCUUGGCGUCGAUCGCCACCGGCUCCUCCCCCAGCAGCUCGUUCCAUACCAUGUCCAGGUUGGUGGCGGCGCCCGUGCUAUGUGCCGACGCCAUGGCCGGCAUGGGAGCCGACUCGGCCUCGGCGCCCGCCGCCAGAGCCAGCUCCACGAACGCGAGGACAUCCGCCACACCCGGCGUGGUCGACGUGGCGUCGGCGUCGAGCCGCCGCCGCUUCCUGCCGGUCUCAUCGGCCGCGGCCGGGUCCCCGACGGCGCGCGCGAGGAAGGCCGCAGCGCACUGCUCCUGCCGCCGCUCCGUGCCCCGCACGCGGCGCUCCACGUCCCGCAGCUGCGCGCGGGCCUCCUGCUGCUCGCGCCGCAGCCGCGCCAGCUCCCGCGCCAGCGCCUCGCGUUCGCGCCGCAGCUUCUCGAGCUCCUUCUCGCGGCCCCCGCUCCCGGUCGCGAUACUAGCCGUCUUCGCCGCCUUGUAUCCGACUCCCGCGGCGCCGCGCCGGCGGCGGAUGUUGGCGAGGAGGUGGCGCUGGCCGGCGAGGAAGUCGGCGUGCGCGAAUUCCCACCUGUCCGGGCUCACCUUGCGGAACCCCUGCACAGCAUUAAUCAUCGCGUGCACACGAACAGCACAAGAACAAUUGAUGAGCAGAUAUAGAAUCAGUGAAUUGAUUAGCAAAAGAAUAACAUUGCAAUGUCAGUAUUACGAACUGAAAUGCGAUUGGAUACUGACGUAGGUGUUGAGCUGGCGGAGGAAGGUGGAGAAGUUGGCGUGCUUGAAGAGACGAGGGAGGAGCACCGCCGCGAAGGCGUGCGGGUCCCACACCACGAAGCUGUUCCGCGCCGGGCCCCACGACACGACGCCGUCCGUCGCCGGGUUCUCCACCAGCUCGAACGUCUUCGCCACGAACGGCGGAACCGCCGCCAGCUUCCAAGGCUCCGGCGCCGCGCCUGCUCGCCCGCCAGCGUCGCCGUCGGUGUCCAGCACCACCAGCACUUCGUCCGGAUGCUUCACCGUCGCGGCUGCGGGGUGAUCCAUCCGAUCCGGCAGAGGGCGGCAGGUGAUGCGAUCGACGAGCUCGUUCGGUCGGUGGUUUGGGUUCGUGUUUUGGCGGGAGACAUGGCAUGAUGGGUGCUGCUGUGUUAUUUAUGGGAGAAGGAUCGGAAUGUUCUGGAAAGUACGAGAAGCAAGAGGAGGAGGAGGAAGCGGUGGUGAUCUGGUGGAUAAUGUUCCAUGGAAGCUUCUCACAGCCGCUAGAGCUCACCGGGGCGCCCGGGAUUUGAUUUGAUGGGUGAUGUGGACGCGACUGCCGAGCGGAAAGAAGAAGGAACGUGUUCCCACCCAAGUCCGGCCCAGCCCGAGGGUGAGCUGGAUCUAUUGGGCCGAUCUCGGGGCUAAGAUUUUAGGCCUGCCUCAGCCCUCAGCCAAUCGUGCGUGCGACUGACUUAUGAGUAUACAGUUCAAAUAAAAUAUUUGGAGGAGAAUAAAAAUCAAAUUUUAUAAUUUAUUAAAGAGUAGGACAAUGUUUAUCUUAAUCAAUAUUAUAGUGGUGAAAUGAACAUUGUUAGUUCAUAAGAUAAAAACUGUGAUAUGCAUGCAAUUGCUCAUGUCGUCCAAGCGGAACGCGGAAGAUUGUUGAAUUUCACAUGUCAAAUAAACAAAUAGUGAAACGGCUGCCGAACUUACAUUGAUAGAGAAGAUAGCGAAAACAGCUAUACAACACAACAGCAAACGGUCAUGAUUGAAAAGAGAGAGAAAAAAAAGCACACAAGAUCAGCCGGUGGGAAUUAUAAAUAGUGAUAUGUAGUUGCUCGAUCACAAGAUAUCAAGAAGGUGGGCGGCGGAGGAAUCAUGUUCAUCAAGCACUAGUAAUAGUGUUACACUGUGAUUUGGUAUAUUUGCACCCAAUAAUUAACAUCUUUGACAGACCUAGCGUCUCCUCUCAGUUCUCCCCCGCGUCACUCCACCUCAGGAGCGGCUUGGGCGGAUCUCGCUCCCCCGAGCGCCACCGCCUCCCAGCACCCCCUCUCCCGCCUUGCUGCUACCCGAGCGGCCGUCAGAAGUCUGCAUGGCUACAAGAAAGACAGUGGCAGAGCUCCACCACCCCUUCCUCCUUCUCUCCUUCCCCCUCCCCCUCGUGCUCCCUUUGGUCGUCCAUGGUGGCAGCGGCUGUCUCCGGCGGUCCGCAGCCAGAUCCGCCCUGCGAAUGGCCGGAUCCACACCCCCGGCCGACGGAUCUGCUAUCUUGGGGCCUCAGCACGUCGGGGUCGUGCGGUGCCUUCCAGCGGCGGCGACGGAGCCCGACGUGCAGCUAGUGAGCGGUGGGGCUCGACUGCGGCGGUGCCUGCGGUCAGCGAGCGGCAGGGCUCGCGGCCGGCAAGCGAUGUGACCCGGUGCCCUCUGUGGCGCGCACGGCAUCCCUCCUUCCAUGGCGCGGCUGUGGCUGCACCCCCGGUCGGGGCGUGACUAGGGAUGCCAGGCGCUCGGACUAGGCAACCUAGGUUGUCCUGGGAUGGCUGCCUACGGCAGGUCGCAGUGGGCGCGCGGUUUCCUAGGAUGGCUGCCUACAGCAGGUCGCAGUGGGCACGCACACCGCUGAAACCGAUGGGGCCGCUGUUUGGGCUCAUGGCAGGUCUUUUGGGCGAAAGCUCUACUUGAUCUUGUAUCGGUCGACGGCGAUGGUGAUACUGUGCAUUGCUCUCCUUCUUGAAGGCAUCGUUGGAAGGAUCUUGCCGCCUUCUUCUCUAGGUGAAAACCUUUGAACUACUUGGCUGGUUCUGGCAGCGGCGGCAUCUUGACGUCGCUUCCCUCUCGGGGGCGUCGCCAUGGAGGAGUUGUUGAGCCCUGCGAUGCUGUGGUCGAGAUCGCUCAUAUUGUGGCAGUGUAUGACGUUGCUCAAGCUUGAUGUCACAGUCAAGAUCGACUCAGUGCGGUUACUAUGUGACACAAGAUCAAGCUAUGGUUAAUCAUUUCUUGCAGAAUGUUUCUAUCAUCAACUGUUUCUAAGUAGAUAAGAGAGGUGACGGACUGUUGCUGCGAUGAGGACAAUUCAAGUUUGAAGCAAAGACAUGGAAGAAAAUUGAAGCUUAGUCUUUAUUUUCAUGCUUUAGUUUUCUUUCUUGUUUGUUUGGAGUGUCUCUGUGUUGAAGCUUGGAGUCUAAGUACUCGUGUAUCGUCAGCCUAUGUGGCCACACUUGUUUCUUGGUGGUCGUAGACAUUUACAUGCGAAUGUUGAAGACCGAAUAUUUUUCUUAAUCUAAAAAAAUAAUCAACAUCUUUAACAUUGGAUUAUUGACGUGUUCCUAGCUUAGCAUCUGCUACCUUCCAUGAGCUUUUGGUUCUUCUCCUUGAUCUCCUUGAUCUCUUUGUCCAUCCUGCCGAUGGCGUAGAGCAAGUAGGCCGACCCGGGCACCGCGGUGAAUUUCAAGCCCUCCCAGAAACUCAGGCAGUGCCCGCCCCAGCAGCCGCCGCAGCAAGGGGCCGGCUGCGCCGCGUGCAGCUGCUCGCGCACGCGCACCACCCGCCGGACCAGCUCGGCGGCCGCGCGCCGGGCCACCGACGGCGGCCUGCAUGCCUACCUCUUUUGCCGCGCGCUCGCCGAAGUCAGGUCGAGUGGUUUUGGCUUCUAGGUUUUGUUUGGUUGGGUUAUAUGGGAUCAUGGGCUUGCUUUGCUCCGGUCCUGGAUCCGUGUCUGUGUUCCACGUAGUCCGGACCUCCGCAUCUGUCCAGUAUUGCAGCAAUAUGCCGCAUCCGCCUAGUAUUCAUCAGAACAAUCCUGUGCCUCUAACGGGAAAUACAGACAUGGCAUGGCAUCCAAGCUUGCGAACAAGGCAAGCAACAAGAUUUAGUGUUUGAGAGGAAUACCAGAAUUGCUUGUUCUACUUACAUCUGUCCAUCUGGGCUUCAACAGUCAACGUUACAUUUCACAGGGUUCCGAAACUAAACGGUGCAACGAGCCCGAAUUGCAUGACAAGAUACCACGAUGUUGCGACGCGCAAUUCACGAUGUCACAGAUCAGUGCAAAAAGGAACAAAUCAAUCAAUAGUUCAAUUUGCGACAUCGCAGGUCAGUGGAAAAUGAAUAAAUCAAAUAAUGAAAAAAUAGUUCGGAAUCUCUAUGCAGGUCUUUAAUCUAUGUGCAAAACUGAUAUUUGAAGAUAUCUAGACCUAUCUGUGUUCAGAUUCCAUGUGUCUCUGUUUUCACACGAUCUGUGUAAUGUUUGUGACAAGUUAUUCAGAACAACAACUAUCUGACUGAGAUGGCAGCCAACAAAAACUGGCGUCACCAUGCUCUCCAGCCUGCAGGAAUAAGUAUGCCAGUCCCCACGAUUCCCUUGCUCUUCUUUUUAAUCACCAAAAGACACAAUUCUUCUUCUGAACAUAUAUUUCAAUCUCAUCUCCAGUUUGUCAUCACUAUCAAGCAUCACGUAAUAUGUUUCCUUCCUUAAAGCACAGUGCUCCUGUGUCCUGAGCAGGCACGAGAUUGCUGCAUUAAGGUGUAGAGUCAUGGUACGAUAAAGCAGCAGUUUGACUCAAAACAUCAAAGACAGCAGAAAAAACUAAAGCUCUGUCCUAAAAUAUAAAAUAAAAAAAUGCUGCUACAGAAAGUAACAUUUGAAUGCGUUCAGCUGUGUUGGUGGACUUCUCACCUGAUGGUUGGCGUGAAGGAAUGAUCCUGAUCGAAUUUACAGGCCAUAUGUAACAAACAUCAAGAUGAAAAAUUAUGCUGGUCGAAUUUGAGGCCUCUAUGAUAUUCUUCCUGAUAGGCUUAUCCUGUUGCCAACAUAAAUCUGAGCUGUCCAUCCUUCCAUGAGUGAGAUACACCUUCACCAUUUUGAUCCAUGUAAAAUUAUAACACUUUGUAGCAUCUUAUUGGGAACGGCAAACUUCCAAAGCAUUCUGCCUUAAUUCAUAAUCAGUAUUUGCUUGCGUGAAUCUGACUGAGUCAAACAUAUUUCUAGUGUAAAGUACAUACUAUCAGGAAAAGCUUGUCAUCUCACAAAAAGGUGCUAGAAGUACUGAUUUCCUUUGAACAUCAUAUGCACACUCUUGAAAAUAUUUUCAGGUUGCCCAAUAGCAGAUGGCAGAAGAAUAUGGUGUUAUCUUCUAGCUCUCUGCCGUUUCUGAUGCUGCAUCCAUCAGUUCAAUUAGGAAUGUUGGAUCUCAAUGGAAGGAUGAACAUGUGACAGGAGAUAAGGAGGUGCAAAGUCUACUUCUUCAUUAGGUUUGUGUGGGACUUCCUUAUUAACAUGAGGAAAGGAUUCUUAUGUGUACAGUCCAUUAAUCAACUGACAUCUUUUGAUUGCACCAAAUUACACUGAGGUCCUCAUGGGGCCAUAGGAAAACUGAAUCCAUAUUCUUUACCUAUGACAUGUGCCACUAGAUUAAAAUUACUUCAGUGAACUCCCAUAGCUGCAAAAUCAUUCAAGCUCCCCAGUAAGAUGGGCAAUUGAAAUAAUGGAUGUUAAUAUAUUUUAUACCACAUAUUGUAACUUCAUUCUACUUAACAUAGCAAAGCAUGAACAUUAAUGGGUAAUGAAGAAAAAGGACUUUGAAGAACGAAUAUCAGACAAAUGUUAUUUGCUUGUUUCUCCAUGUCUAGCAGCAUGAUAAUGAUCAUCCAAAACAAAGACAAUAUCUAGGGUGUUUAGUUUGAGUAACCACCUCAUAUAGGAUAAUUUGCUCCAUCAUAGGAUGAUUCUAUUAUUUUAAUGGGAUAUCCCCAUUAUCAUUUUUUUUAUAAAUUUCACUUAUGAGGACUGAGGCAAUGAUUUCUAACCCAUCCUACUACUUGACAGACAACUAGGUUGAUUUACAAGUCACCAGUUCACCAGUCUAUUCACAAUCUAGUUCCUCAGAAUGAACAUUCAAUACAUGUUUAAUGCCAAUAAUGAUGAAAAUUUUUGAAAUAGUGAAGUGAACAGACCAAACUGUUAACACCAAAGAAGCAGUUAAUUAUCAACGAUUGUAAAUAAUAAGACAAGUAUGCAUGACUUAUUGACUUACAUGCUUCACAUACUCAAUCAUCUGAUAUCGACAUCAGUAUCAGUGGAAGUAUGGUACAUGAUAUCAACCUGUAUCAAAUACAAAUGGCAUGGUUUGAUUAUCAAUGGAUGAUGACUUAAAAGACAUAUCAAAUGAAAGACGACAAGUAUUGCUAAUAAACAGAUUGCAAUUUUACCUGGAUACAUGAUACUAAAUAAAAAUGCAUGCAACGAAUUCAUUAUUUGUUUGUGCAAACAAAAGUAAGCAAUUUAGCAAGACUGUUGUAACAUAGUCAGCUGAUAGUGAGUUAUUUAUAGCUAUUCAGUUGAUCUUACCACGGAAGCAUUUCAAAACUUGAGUUCCUCCUUUCGCUCCAGCGAAAUCCCCUCGUUUGUUUGCUAGGUUCUGUAUCCAAGAUAACAGGAGUAUUUGUCCUGCCUUUUCAACUUUGGAUCCAAGGAAGAUUGUUAAGUAACUUGACUGAGAUAAAAAUAUCAGAAGCAUACUGAAUCACGCAGUGACAUAUGCUUUCAUGCUGCGAGGGAAGUUUCGGUUUAGUGAUGAUGUCUAUGUUGUCCAAUUGCAGGAAUUUUGACACUCAAAAGAAAAGAAUAGCCCUUUAUACCUUGUACAAGCACAAGCUCAGGUUUCACCACCAGAAGCAGUAUCAUCUUUUGUACAAGAUAUUAAAAUACUAUUCAUUUCAUUCUGAAGACUUGAUGCUUCCUCCAUGUUCCCCAAUUUCUGGUAUUUGCUUAUCAGACAGUUAUAAACUGUCUUAUCGGGAGUAAUACCGUUUUGAAUCAUUUCUGAAAGAACUUCUCUAGCCUCUUGCAUCAUAUUCAUAUUACAGAAGCCCCAAAUAAAGCAAGUGUAGGUAUAAAGGUCAAGUUGCAAACCACUUUCGAUCAUCUUGGCCUUGAGCGCAAAGGCAUCCUGGAGAUUUCCCUGCUUCAGGUACCCAUCAAUAAGAGAAGUGUAUACAACUUUGUCAAGAGACAUACUCUUGUCAACCAUUUCAUUCAACAACUGCACAGCCUUAUCCAAGGAGCCAUUCUUGCAAAAACCAUCAAUUAGGGCGGUGUAAGCCUGUACAUUUGGAUCUAGACCUAAGUCUCUCAUUUUGUUAAAAUGGAAGACUGCCUCAGCAAUUGAUCCUGCUUUGCACAAUCCAUCGAUUAAUGCACAGUAAGUUACAACAUUAGGCUGGAACCCAGAAUUCAGCAUCUCGUGGAGCAGGGCAAUGGCCUCUGACUCUUUUCCUGCUUUAAAGCAAGCAUCCAUUAUUGUCGUAUAGAUGACAUUAUUAGGUUUCAAACCGCAGCCAGCCAUUUUAUGUAACAGAUUCUUGGCUUCAUCCACCUUUUGAACAUUACAGAGACCCCAAAUGAGGGUACCAUAGAGUGAAACAUCAAGUUCCAUUCCUUUGUUCUUCAUCUCACUCAACAAAUCCAAAGCUCUCUCACCAUUCUUAUUCAUGAAGUGCCCAUGGAUCAGUGUAGUGUACAGCAAUUCAUUGGCUUUAACACCAGCUCUCUCCAUCAGCCUCAAAACACCAUCCGCUUCAGCAACCUUACCCUCUUUGCAAAGGCCAUCGACCAGCACAGCGUAUGUGACCACAUUUGGUGCUACCCCCUGAUGCACCAUUUCGUCAAGCAAUACAAUGGCAUCAUCAAGCCUCCCUGCCUUGCAAGUUCCAUCAACUAACGAAGUAUAAGUGAAUUCAUUGGGCAUCAUCCCCCUCACCCUCAUCUGUGCAAACAGUUUCAUUGCCUCCCGGACCAAACCCUCUUUGCAAAAUGCAUCGACAAAAGUGCUAAAUGUAACUACAUUUGCCAUCACUCCCUGCUUCUUCAUCUCUCCAAAGUAGCUGUACGCCUUCUCCAUCCUCCCAAACUUGCAGAAGCAAUCGACUAAUGCAUUGUACGUCACAACAUCAGCUGCACACCCAGACUUCCUCAUCUCCCCCACCAGCUGCUCCACCUCCUCCAGCUCCCCGCACUUGCCAUACCCAUCAAUCAAAGAAUUGUAAGUGACGACGUCAGGCGAGCAGCCCAUCACCUUCAUCCUAAGAAACAGUGCCCUUGCCUCUGCAAGCUCCCCCUCCUUGCACAGGAAAUCAAUCACGAUGUUGAACGUGAACACGUUGGGCGCAGGCAGCUGGUCGAAGAGCCGCUUGACGAGCCCGCCGCGGCGGUCGCGGGCAAGGCUUAGGAGAAUGUGGUUGCAGGUGCGGGUGUUCGGUGGCACGCGCAGCUCCCGCACGCGGGCAAACGCGCGGACGGCGUCGUCGAGGAGGCCGCGGUCGGCGAGCAGGGAGAGGAGGGUGUCGACGACGGAGGGGAGCGCGCUGCGGCGAGGCCCCAGCGCGAGUGCCGCGCGGUGGAGAAGGUCGACGAGCGAGGCGGCGAGGUGGGGCCGGUGGCCGACGCCGAGCAGGCGGGCGAGGAGGCGGCGGGAGUGCGCGAAGAGGCGGGCGCGGGCGGCGAGGUGAGCGGCGAGGCAGACGUGGGCGGAGGAGGGGAGGGGGUGGAAGAGGAGGUGGUCGGGGUCGACAGCGUGUAGGGAGCGGAGGGUCCGCAAGAGGUGGGAAAUGGGAGUGCCGGCGGCGCGGGCGCCGGCGGAGGCGGCGGUAUGGGCGGUGGAGAGGGCGGCGGCGUGGGCGCCGAGGGAGAGGCGAAGGAGGGUAGGGUUCCGGCGAGGCCAGAGGCGGCGGAGGAGGUGGCGGCGCGGGGGGAGGGAUAGCAUCGUUUGACCGCCUCCCUCCGGCGGCGGCGAGGGGGAGGGAAUCAGGCCAUGGAGGAUGUAGGGUUUUGAGGGGUUUUGUUUGCCGAAAUUUUUAAUUAAAUUCAGUUGUUUUAGAUGUGAUUUUUGGUUCCUAAAAAUCCACUCAAAUUGGAGUGCUCAAUGCUAAUACGAACUUGCUGUGUACUAUUUAAGAUUUAGAACACGAAAAUCCUAAAAUCUUUUGCGGAAAAAUCUUAAUAAUUUUUCCAACCGACAAGAAUAAUUUUGCCAACAAACCCGAACGCAAAUCGCCUCUUAAAAACUUAGAGUUAUGCGUAUUUUCAAUCAAUCCUCUUGAUUUUCCAAUUGGUCGUCGACGAUUCAGUCUUGUUGUAAAAGGUAGGGCGCCAUGUGUAGUGUUUAUUUUAUUACAAUACAAAUUAAAGCUCGACCUGCGGGGGGGUAAGACAGCUAUGGGCUUUUUCUAAGAGAGAAGUCUUCUCACGCGGUCAAGAAAAUCCUCGAACCUCUGCCCUGUAACCCUUGUGAGACUACCUCAAGUAGGAGAACCAACCACAGCUACGGCCUGGGUCAGGUCUUGACCUGUGUUUAGGUUAUGGUGAUAGAUAAGGUGAUUUUUUAACCUCAGUUUGAAAUACGCUCUCACGAGGAGUCGAACCUAAGAUCUGAGGAGUGCUACUUACCAACUCAGCUAUAAGCAUGUUCGCAUUACGAUACAAAUAACACUCUAAACCAUAGCUAUUGCUUUAUGGUCGCUCAUUAUUUGCGGAUCAAUAAACAUCUACUUGCCAAAUUUGGGCAACAAACUUGCAUAGAUAAAAGGUCCAAGAUCCUUUUUCCCAAUAUACUCCAUCCUGUCCAAAAUAUACAUCAUUUUAGUUUUUUUAUACGUAGAUUUUGCUAUACAUCUAAAUGUAGGGUUAUGUCAGAUUCAUAGCAAAAUCUAUGUAUCUGGAAAAGGGGUAACGUCUGAAGUUGAUAAGUUAAAAUGUAACGAACCUUGAUCUUGCCUUUUAAUGAAAUUCUUCCAAAUCAACGGGAUGAUGUAAUUCGAUUUGAGAAUUUGUUUCCAUGCUAGCUAGCCGUGUAUAGGUGACAAUUUCAUAUAAUAUUUUGACUUAAUAGUGUAAUUGUGGCUCAUCAAGGUUCGUUAAGUCUUUCUCUAUUCAUGGACAUUUUUUUCCUACCAAACUUCACUAUAUCUCCAUAAUAACUUUUGUCCCUCAACAUUUGACAAAAUGAACCCACGUAAAAAUUUAAAAUUGCCCGUUAACAAAAUUUUAGAAUGUUUAGAUUUCUUUUUUCAAAUGAACACUAACGACAUUAGUAAGGUCAAAUCAUAUAUUACCUAUCUAUCAAAAUAUUUGUCACUAUGACUUUUGAUCAUGACAUUUGAGCAUUCAUUUUAUCAAAACAAUUAUGUAUAUCAUUUAUUUUAUUUGCGACUUAUUUUAUCAUGAAAGUUACUUUAAGUAUAACUUACAUUUUCAUAUAUUUACAAUAAAUUUUUGAAUAAGACGAAUGAUCAAACGUUGUGAGUAAAAGUCAACAAUGUCAGGUAUUUCAAUUAGAUGGAGUAUAACAUAAACCCAAUGUACACCUAAAUUCACGUGCCAGCACACCAAUCUAAUGAAAGAGUUCAAUGCAAUCUGUGUAGUGGAAGGACGAACUUGUAAAUUGAGCAUUGUUCUUCUUGAUUUGUUGUGAUUUAAAAAGUACUAGCUGCUUUGUCGUUUUCUCUCGAAUGGUGAACCAAAUCUCAACCAAACUAACGCUAUAGUAUUGUAGGACCAUGACACCGUUGAACAUCUUACCAACUCGUGCUAGAUGAGUUGUCUGCUUCCUUCGUUUAAAGUGGAUGGCCACUUUACUUCGAACUCAAUCAAGAUACAAUUCAAAUUGAUCCCAAACAAAUCCACAUAUUUUCAGUUGGAGCCCACAGCAACAUUUUUAAACAGUAUAGGAACCACCCAAACAGUUCAAAAUCCAGUGAAAACAAAAUCCAUCCAAAUCCAUUUAUGUUGAAGAAGAAAUUUGAUUUCAAAGAAGAGGAAAGAAGUGAAGAGCCAACACGAGUACGAGCUCUCCGAGUCUUGCCUCGUUCGUCGCCACACUGACCAAACCACGAACAGAUCUCACCAUCCCACCCUCCCUCUCAGAUCCCAAUUCCCGAAUGCCCCUUGCAAACUAGCUGCUCCGCCCGGCCCCGCGCGCUCAUAUCCAUGGGCGGGCUUAGGGCGGCAUCGCCGUCGCCGUCGGGCGCGGGACUGGACGCCCCGCAGCUGGCGCCGCCGCGCGUGGCGAUGGCGUGCGUGGUGGUGUCGGAGGUCGCCACGGUCCUCGCCGUCAUGCGCCGGAACGUCCGCUGGGCGGGCGUCCGCUACGACGGCGGCGGCGCCGACGAGCACCUCGACCACCCGCUCGUCGCGGGGCUCAAGUCCCUCCGCGGCCGCGCCGCCGGCUGGGGUCGGCCCGGCGGCGCGUGCCGGUGGCUGGACGACGUCGACCCGCUCCUCUACCUCCGCCCCUUCCUCGAUGUCGUCCGCUCGGACGAGACCGGCGCGCCCAUCACUGGCGCCGCGCUCUCGUCGCUGCACAAGGUGCUCUCGCUCGACCUCGUCGGCCCCGCCGCGCCCAACGUCGCCGGGGCCAUGGGCGCCGUCGUGGACGCCGUCACAGGCUGCCGCUUCGAAGUCACCGACCCGGCGUCCGAGGAGGCCGUCCUGGCGCGGGUCCUGCAGGUGCUGCUCGCCUGCGUGCGCGGACGCGCCGCGCCCGCGCUCUCCAACCGCCACGUCUGCGCGAUCGUCAGCACCUGCUUCCGCGUCGUGCAGCAGGCUGCGACCAAGGGGGAGCUGCUGCAGCGCGUCUCCCGCCAGACCAUGCAGGAGGUUAUCCGCUGUGUCUUCGCCCGCCUGCCGGACCUUGAUGCCACCGUGGUUGCCGACGGGCAGGUGCGACUGAUUAUUCUGAAAUUUUUCAAGCAUUGUUAUAGUCAUUACUUGUGCUGUCCAUAUGACCAUACGAGCAUUGCUUUUCCUCUUUCCCUGAACUUAAUAAUAGGGACUGUCUGUAGCUCACUCGGGUGAAACAGGGACUCCCCUCGCUCGAAUUUCUCAACCAUUGGAUCUAAAAUCGGCGGCUCGGAUCAAUUCCAUCUCUCUCAACCUUGUCUUCUUCUCCCCUCCCCCACUCCCCACCAACCCCCCGACUCCCCCGUGACUCCACCUUCCACCUCCCGGCGCCGUCCCGUCAUGCCUCCACCUGUCCAGCGCGGGCAAGCUAGGGUCCCGCCGGCUGGCCGGUGCGGAGCUCCAGCGGGAUCCUAGCCCGCCCGCGCCGGCCGCCUUUCCUACCCCUCCUGCCGCCGCCUCCCGCCAUCGUCGCCCCCGCCCCGUCCCUGCCCAACCGCCCUCCACCACCGCCCGGCUGGCAGUGCCCCCGCCGCUGCGCCUCACCGCCCCCGCACCUGCCACCUCCGCCGGGCCGGCCUACCGCCGCCGGCCCUCCCUUUAGGUCCGCCGGUGAGUUCCCAACCCCAGAAACCCUGAAACCCUAACCUCCAAACCCCUAACCCCGGCGCCCCUAAUCUCGUCGGAAUUUGGCCGGAGUUGGAGAAGAAAGGGUGCACAUGGGGGAAGAAAAAUUUGGGUGAGGAGGGGCUCUAUUUCACCCGGGUGAGCUAUAGCUUUCCCCUAGACUUACUAUGGUGACACGUGCCAGUCUGCAGUCUAAACCAAAGAUGCAUCAGUGUCGUUUUAGGUUCAAGUUUUUAUUUUGAAGUCUUAGUUCCAAGUAAAAUUCUGUCAUACUAGCAAUAUACCUUGCACAUAGGCACUGUUUCAACUGUACUGGCUUUUACUUAUUACUUAUAAGAUAUGCAUAUUGUUAAUGUACAAAUUAGCUUUUGUUACUUGGAAGGCUGAUAUGAUCAUGUCCUAAGUGAAGUGUACGAAUGUGCUGAUUGCAUUUGUUCUGCAGAUUUCCAGUUUCAAGGGCCAAGGUUUGGGUGCUGGGGAGUUGGAGAAUGGAAAGAGUGACUAUUUGUGUUUGAACAGCUCUGGCGAUGAGGUGGGGGAUGAAUCUGGUGUUGCGCAGGACAAAGCCAUGAUGGAGCUGUUUGGGGUUCCUUGCAUGGUAGAGAUAUUGCAAUUCUUGUGCUCCCUCUUGAACGUAGCAGAAGACAUUAAGGUGAACCCAAGGAUGAAUUCGAUUGACUUCGAUGAGGAUGUGCCGCUAUUUGCUCUGGGGUUGAUUAGUUCAGCUAUUGAAUUGUCCGCUUCAUCAAUACACAGACACCCAAAGCUUUUGGCUUUUGUACAGGAUGAAUUGUUCCGCAAUCUAAUGCAUUUUGGCUUGUCAAUGAGCCCCUUGAUCCUGUCGACAGUGUGCAGCAUUGUUUUUACUCUCUUUUACCAUUUGCGUCAUCAACUUAAGCUGCAAAUAGAGGCUUUCUUCUCAUGUGUGAUCUUGAGAUUAGCCCAGAGUAGAUAUGGGGCUAGUUAUCAGCAGCAAGAAGUCGCUCUGGAGGUGCUGGUGGAUUUUUGCCGGCAGAAAGAGUUUAUGGCUGAGAUGUAUGCGAACAUGGAUUGCAAUUUACAAUGCUCAAAUGUUUUUGAAGAGCUUGCUAACCUUCUGUCUAAAAGUGCAUUCCCUGUGAACAGUCCUUUGUCGGUCCUGAAUGUGCUUGCUUUGGAUGGUUUGGUAGCUGUCAUUCAGGCCAUGGCAGAGCGGACUGAUAAUGCACCUCGGCAUCAUGAUCAAAUAGUUCCAGAAAUAAGUGAAUAUUUUCCGUUUUGGCAAUUGAAGUGCGAAAGCAAUAAAGAUCCUGGUCAAUGGGUUACAUUUGUUAACCAGCAAAAGGGCAUAAAGAGGAAGCUAAUGGUUGGUGUUGAACACUUCAAUAGGGACAAAAAGAAGGGUUUUGAGUUCCUGCAAGGUGCUCAUCUCUUGCCUGUAAAACUUGAUCCACACAAUGUUGCUCUUUUCUUCCGGUACACACCUGGAUUGGACAAGAAUCUUCUUGGGGACUACCUGGGUAAUCAUGAUGAGUUCUCUAUUCAGGUCCUUUAUGAAUUUGCUAGAACCUUUGACUUCAAAGAGAUGAAUUUGGAUGCUGCUCUAAGGCUCUUCUUGGAAACUUUCCGGCUGCCUGGUGAGUCACAGAAGAUACAGAGAAUUCUUGAGGCCUUUUCUGAGCGAUACUAUGAACAAUCACCGCAAAUAUUUGUUAAUAUUGAUGCUGCAUUGGUGUUAUCAUAUUCAGUAAUCCUGCUUAACACCGAUCAACACAAUGUAAGGGUUAAGAAGAAGAUGACUGAAGAAGACUUUAUUAGGAACAAUCGUCAUAUAAAUGGAGGCAAUGAUCUUCCAAGGGAGUUUUUGUCAGAGAUUUAUUAUUCUAUUUGCCGGAAUGAAAUCAGAACCAUUCCAGAGCAAGGAGCUGGUUGUUCUGAGAUGUCUUUCAGCCGCUGGGUUGAUCUGAUAUGGAAGUCAAAGAGAACAUCAGCAUACAUUGCUUGUGACUCCUGCCCUUUCCUUGAUCAUGACAUGUUUUCUAUCAUGGCCGAGCCAGCAGUUGCUGCAAUAUCUGUGGUUUUUGACAAUGUUGAGCAUGAAGAGGUUCUUACAGGAUGCAUUGAUGGUUUUCUGUCGGUGGCGAAACUUGCAGCAUUCUAUCAUCUUAAUGAUGUGCUGAACAAUCUUUUUGUGGCACUAUGUAAGUUCACAACUUUGUUGAGCAGUACCGACAUUGAUGAUCCUGUAACAGCUUUUGGGGAGGAUACCAAGGCUAGAAUGGCAACAGAGGCUGUUUUCACUAUAACAACGGCUUAUGGUGAUCAUAUACGCAGUGGAUGGAGGAAUAUAGUAGAUUGCAUUUUAAAACUGCAUAAGAUAGGCCUUCUUCCUGCUCGCCUCACUUGUGAUACAGCUGAUGAUCAGGGCUCCUCAGAUUUGUUGCCCAGCAAGGCUGCCUCCUCAUCCGCAGUUGCACCUCCAGUUUUGCCAGUUAGCGCUCCCAAAAAAUCUUAUGGACUGAUGGGCAGGUUCAGCCAACUACUGUAUUACGAUGCUGAAGAACCUAGGGCCCAGCCAUCUGAGGAGCAACUUGCUGCUCAGAGGAAUGCUUUGGAGACUGCAAAGAAGUGCCAAAUAGGUACCAUCUUUACUGAGAGCAAAUUCUUACAAGCUGAUUCACUCUCAAAUCUAGCAAGAGCCCUCAUUCAGGCAGCCGGUCGACCUCAGAAGAUCACCAGGUCACUUGAUGAUGAAGGCACAGCCGUUUUCUGCUUAGAGCUUCUAAUUACUGUCACAUUGAACAACAGAGACAGGAUUGUUCUUUUGUGGCAGGGUGUUUAUGAACACAUAGCCCAUAUCGUCCAGUCCACAGUAAUGCCCUGCAAUCUGGUGGAGAAGGCUGUUUUUGGGCUCCUACACAUCUGUCAGAGGCUCCUUCCUUAUAAGGAGAACCUGGUAGAUGACCUACUGAGGUCACUUCAGCUAAUUUUGAAACUUGAUGCUCGUGUUGCUGAUGCUUACUGUGAGAACAUCACCUUGGAGGUCACACGGCUUGUCAAAGCCAAUGCAACCCACAUCAAAUCCCAGAUGGGUUGGCGAACUAUCAUUUCCUUGAUCUGCAUUACUGCAUGCCACCCUGAUGCUUCUGAUGCUGGUUUUGAAGCCCUGAUCUUUAUCAUGUCAGAGGGAUCACACCUCUCUCCUGCCAACUUUGUCCUUUCAGUGGAGGCCUCAAGGCAGUUUGCAGAGUCUCGGCUUGGAUCUACAGAAAGACCUAUUCAUGCUUUGAACCUAAUGGCAGAUUCAGUGAAUUGCCUUACGCGGUGGACUCGCGAGGUUAAAGAAGCUGGUGGAGAGACAGACAGGAUAUUGGAAGGAAUUGCUGAGAUGUGGCUUCGGCUAGUGCAGGCUCUACGGAAGGUGUGCACAGAUCAAAGGGAAGAAGUGAGAAACCAUGCACUGUUGUCGUUGCAUAGAUGCUUAGUAAUUGAUGGAAUAUCCAUUUCGUCUUCAGCAUGGUUGAUGUCAUUUGACAUUAUCUUCCAGUUGCUUGAUGAAUUGUUGGAUAUUGCACAGAAUCACUCACCAAAAGAUUUUAGAAACAUGGAGAUGUCCCUCUUGCAUGCUGUAAAACUGCUAUGCAAGGUGUUCUUGCAGUCACUUAAAGACCUCUCAGCACAGAGCAGUUUUGGUAAGCUGUGGUUCGAAGUCCUGGACAUGAUAGAGAAGUUUAUGAAAGUCAAAUUGAGAGGGAGAAGGUCGGAGAAGCUACAAGAGGCUAUCCCAGAGCUAGUCAAGAAUGUGUUGAUGGUGAUGAAAGCAAGUGGCAUCCUGUCAAAGACAAAAACCGGUGAAAACAGUUUGUGGGGGGCUACAUGGCUCCAUGUUAACAAUAUUUCACCAGUGCUGCAGUCAGAAGUUUUUCCUGACAAUGAUGGCAACAAUGCAACACAAGACGAACAAAACAAAUUGGAUACUCCAGCACAAUCUGACCAAAAUGCUGAGCAAUAGGAUCUGAUGGAUUCUGCCAUUCAGAUCAGGUUAGUGGAGCUGAAACUGGAUCGUUAAAGGCAGUAUGACCUUUGAAACAUUUUUGUCAGGCAUACACAUGAUUGGGAAUGCUCUCAGUGGACACUAGGGAGAGUAAGCUGGUACGCUAAUUUCCUUGGUCUAUACAUAUUCUUUUUGUUAUUGACAGGGAUGUUUUUGGGAUUUAUGGGUUCAACCCCAAAGUUGUGAUUAGUAUACCGCAGAUAUAGCAAUUUUUCCCCAACAAUUGAUGAUUUGUUAGAGGUAAUGUGGUAGCAUAGCAGCUCUAUACUGUGGACCCAUGUGAAUUCAUGUAUCAAUAGGUCCUUUACCGGACACAAUAAUACUAUACGAUUCGUAAACUUGUUACAUUCUUGCGAGUGACCAAAAAUAGUUUGCCAAAUUUGUUGGAAAUGGUGGUAAAGUUUCUCUGACGAUUUGCAUGCGGUGUAUAUCUUCAGGGAAAAGGAUUUCAGAAACAUUAUGUUUCAUGUUAAAAAAACUCAUCUAUUCGUUUAUUCAAGUGAUUUCUUUCCCAUCCGAACAGUACCAAGUUGGUUGAAGCAUGUCCUGGCAUUAUUUUUUUUUGUGUAUAAAGCUUGAAACUUACUAGCCUGUCGGGCUUGUUAUCUCAUAUUGCAAUUCGUACAUUCUGCUCUCUGAUUUCAGCAGCUUGCAGCUAGUUACAGGCUUAAAUAAGUUCCGAAGUUGUAAAUACAUUCUGCUCUCUGAUUCGCUCAUUGAUGUGUGCCUUAUUGCGUAUGAGCACGUAAAACUAUGUACUGAGACUGACCGUGCAUCCAAGCAGCGCACAAUCACCCAUGUUGUAGGGGUGGUCAGCAGUUACUCGUCGAAUGUGAUGUGUCGUACUCCUGAGAAUCUGGUACUUGAACAGACAGCUCAUGUAUAGUUUGUACUAUCACAUCGCUGCUGGUUGCUUAUUCCAGCAGCAAGAGAAGAAUGAAACUGAGCCCUUCGCACACAAAAUCAUCCGAGAUAAGCAAAAUACAAUGAUAAUAUUUCCCGUGUCGGAUCGGCUGAACAAAGUGUAGUGGUUGGGCCAUCGAUUUGGGCCCAGACAGAAGCGGAAACAAUAGCGGUGGCGGUGGCCUACUGGUCUAUUGGGCCACCAAUUUGGGCCCAGACAAGGAAGCAUGCUCUGCGCACACGGCGGGAUACACAGGAUAUUAGACGGAACCGAUCUGGUGUAUUAGUAACAAAUCGAAUAGCUAAACAAUAGCACGGGGAAAUAGCAACUAUAAAACAAGGCGUGACUCCCCGUUGCAACUCAUACCUUUCUCGACCUUUUGGCUAAGAUCAAGUGUACUAUCUAUUCUUAUCAGUUUAAUAUCUGAUAUGUGGACCAUGUACCCACUUUGAUAUUAAAUUUAUUUUUUUGGAAGUGUCCACUACAAUGGCUUGCCAUUGGGAUCCUUGUGCGUCGCCUUGGUGUUGCACUAUAACCUUGGCUUGGCGCACGCCAACCAAAUCAAGUUAUAAAUUUUGUCUUAAUUCAAUCAAAGUUUAUAAAAUAUAUAAAAUGCCCUUUUCCUUUGUUUGGCUGAACCUCUAAAUUUCCAAAAGCAUCAUCAAGCGCUCUCAGCCAUUCAGGUCAGGAUACAUUCUUGUCCAGAGCCACACACAAAUGCUUGGCAGUGCUCUCACCGGAUACUGGAACUACGGAGAGCUGGUACACUUGUAACUAAUUUUCAAUCCUAUAUACAUAUUCUUCCUUGUUGCUGACGAGAAUGCUUUUGAGGUUUAUUGUUGGAACCCCCAAAGCUGUAUGGUUGGUAUAUCGCAGCAGAGGUGAUGUGGUAGCAUCAUAGCUCUAUACUAUGUACGCAUGUGAAUUCAUGUACCAGGCAUUAGAUCGCUUAAUGACACAAUAUGCAGUACAAUUCUAAUGUCUUAUGCAUCACCUUCUUGCAGGUGAACAAAACUAGUUUAUGUGAACUUGUUUAACCCACAGCAGCGUUAACAGCGGUGAUGGUAAAUUAUGUUUGAAAUGUGCAUGGCAUCUGAUGUUGGUUUACAGGUUGCAACUGCAGUGUUUUUUCGGGCGAAUUACAGUGUUGUUGCUGUACAUUUCUGUAAAGACUAGCCUAGAAAGAAUUUGGUACAUUGCUUCAGAGGCAGAAUUUUGGAAACGUUAUGUUUCAUGUUACUCAAUUCGAUCGUUUCUUCAAGUGAUUUGUUUUCCAUGCGAACACUGACAGGUCGGUGGAAAGCACAUUCUGACCCUUUUUUUUUUCGUGUGAAUAAAAACCUUGAAAUUAUUACACUGUCAGGUUGGUUCCAGCAGCUAUUACAAGUUCAUACAUUUUUUUUUUGAAACCAUACAUUCUGUUUUCUGAUUUCAACAGCAUGCAGCUUAGUUACAACACUAGCUCAAAUCAGUUCAAAAGUUUCAGCACAUGUACUUUUACAUGUUCAUCACCAUGAAUCCAAUCAGAGUCACUGCUGUUGCAUGCUCUGAUGAAGCUUAACUUCAACAAACAGUCAAACACAAGCAAUCAGUGAAUCGAUUUGGAGAUAGAUGAAUAAUUACUGUUUUUGAAUUCUACGUCGAUAUAUCGAAUUCGAGUACAAGAUUUUGCGACAGGCUCCAGUGCAAGAAGUUGUCCAAGCUUCGUUUCAAAAAAAAAAAAAUCGUUUCAAAAGAAGUUGUCCAAGCUAAGGUGACGAUAUUGCAGCAGAGCGAUCAGAGAAACGGAGCUCCCCAACGCGGAGAGAGAAGCCCGCCCGGUACGACCUGUUGGCUGUUGGGCUGCGAGAUUGGGCCCACAUCGAGCAGCUGGGACAAAGUGAGAUUUUGGUCAAAGCUUAAGUAUUUGAACGAUAUGUUCGCUUUAGCUUAUAAGCCGGUUGAAAAGCUAAAAUAAUUGAUUUAUUGUAAAAGAAAAACACUGUUUGGUGACUGAUAAGCCGGCUGAAUAAGCUGAAGGGAACAAGUCCAAUAUUUGUAACCUGCGAGAGUUACUUUAGCACUUGCUUUUAUUUCAAUAAGGGUAUUGACGGCCGUCGAUAAGUGGCUGCUAAUUCCUGCUUUCGCCUGCAAAAAAAAUGGAGGUCCAUUGCCGUAGUGUCUACUUCCUCCCUGAAGAUCUCAUACACGUGGCGGGGCUUAAAUAGUUGGCGAUAAGAACGAUAGCACUCCUUUUCCGUUACCUCUUGUGCUAACAAUUAGCAUGACCUUCACUAGAAACAGAAGUUUAUAGCAUGAGAGGUGGGACAGAACACUUCAAUUAGAAAGGAAGUGCUGUUCUAAAUCGAAACUUUAUAGCAUGACCUUCGCAGCCUCAAAUCGAAAGUUUAGAAAGGAAGUGCAUGCGGUUAUAAAAUCGAAAUAGAAGUUAUAUGACCUUCGCAGCCUCACUAUAUAUCUGUUUUCCGAAUGCUGUUGUAAAUCUAGAGUGCUUGAGAACUUGUUUGCGAUCAACGCCCGUGAAAACACAUGGAACAGAGUAGUAACCGCCAAACACUCGGAGCCAUGUCAUCAUCGAACACGCGUUUGCGUUUUUGUUGUGGUGGAAAAAGCCGGAGGAGGAGAGAGAAAACGGCCUCCAGCUCGAGCUCGUCACGGCCUCUUGGGCUGCCUAAUUCGGCCCAAACAAGUAGCACACGCGAUUACGGCAGAUAAGGACCUGACGCUUCUUUAUUAUUAUAAAAAAAAAGGACCUGACGCUUCAUCAGAGUUAGAAGAAGGAACCGGUUUUGCGUUUAGUACCACCUCGAGCCGCUUAACAGCAGCGUGGGUAAGGAGCCCUAUAAAAAGAGGCGCAGCUUCCCGUUGCAACUCGUACCUUUCAAGUGUAGUAUAGCAUAUGUUCUUAUCAGUUUAAUAUUUGAUAUGUGAGCCAUGUGCUCACUUUGAUGUUAAAUUUAUUUUUUUUGCUGGGAGAGGAUUCACCACAGUGGUCUGCUGUUGGGAUCCUCAAGCCUCACCUAGGUGUUGCACAAUUGCUAUGGCCAGGCGCACCUCAACCAAAUGCUACUCCCAAACAGAAGGAUCCUCAAGCCUCACCUAGCAUUUAUGCCUUCUGUUUUGUAGUACGGACGUUUUGGAGUUGGUGAGCAUGCUGCAGCGCCCGCCCGCCGCCCCUGUUUACAACUCCAAUAGCCUUUUUAUUAACCUAAUCUCAACCAGGGAGAAUAAAUACCUCAAUCAUUUUUAUUAACCCAAUCUCAAUCAGGGAGAAUAAAUACCUCAAUCAGGGAGAAAAAGAAAACAGUUAUUAACCCAAUACCUCAGUCAGGGAGAAAAAGAAAAAACAACACCCCAUGUUCCCUUAGAGCAACUCCAAAGGCUCCUUUUUAUUACCCGAAGGGGAAAACAAACAGGCUCCAACGACUCCCCUAGACAUCCCGCAAAUAUUCAGCAUCGCAAGUACUUCCCCCGUCGCCCCCGGUCUUCCCCAAUUGCCCUGGGCGACUACUUCACGGGCCGCAGGAGCUUCCGCGCCGCGAUCGACGACAUCAAGGCCAACACGCGGAACCUGGCGGCUGCGCAGGUCUUGAAGAACCGCUGCAUGGUCGACGACUGGGGCUGGCCCAUCCACCGCCUGGACGCGUCCGCCACCGUCCGCGCCCGCCUCCACGGCGCCGGCCCCGCCAUGGAGUCGGCCUCUUGGGAGCGCGACGUGUGCGGCUCGGGGCUUGCGGCCAUCCAGAGCUUCCUGCGCGACGGUGACAACAGCACCAUCACUGGCGACGAGGCGGGGGACAGGCUGUCGCCGCUGCGGGCGCCGAGGAUGCUGCGAACGCUGCUUUCCCAAUGGCAAACAGCAACAGCUAAGAGCAAAUUAAUCCAUCUCUAAUAAAAUUGAGAGCACGUGAGAGAAGAGGAGAGCAUAGGCAAUCAAUUUUACUAAUUUUAGUGCAAAUUGUUGGGUGGUGGUGAGGGAAUUGGCCGGUGCCGCUGGUUGCCUGAGCUGCCUCCCGACGGAGGCCUGUGUUUCUAGUGAAAGGAUAAGACCUAAGAGCAGUUGAUGUUUCUAGUGAAAGGAUAAGACCUGAGAGUAGACCUGAGAGUAGUCGACAAAUAGCAAUCGCCGGAUGGACUCUGGACGUCGGAUAUGAGCCCACACAUGCUGACGUGGAUAAUUUUGAAGUAUUGACUGUGGCAUGACAUUGAUUUUGGAGAAAAAUUUUUUUAGUAGUCUCAAUAGAUGGAUAAUUUUGAAGUAUUGACUGUGGCAUGACAUUAAUUUUGGAGAAAAAAAUUUUUAGUAGUCUCAAUAGAUAAUUUUGAGAAGAAUUUUUGGAAGACUCUUUGAAGUUGCUCGACGCCACAGCAGACACCGAUGGUGUUCGUAGCUGACAAAGUGACACAAUAUAAUUUCAAAUAAAGAAAGGAUUCCGGCUCCUUUUUUUUUAAAAAAAAGGGAUCAAUUCCCAGUCCAUGUUCGUGCUAGCCCUUAUCAAGACAUCACAACACACGAGAAUGCGGAUUCACCAGCCAAGGCAAUACAAAUUAAACAUCUCAAUGGCAACAGAUGCUGAUUCAUUAUUAUUGCCAGCUAUAUUAGUACACAACCGUGACUGGUAUAACCAUACCACAGUUUUCCGGAAACCAGGUGUCACGUGUCAGAGCUCGGAAUAAGUUCAAUUCAGGUUUUGGCGUUUGUUCUAUGAAGCCAUCCCCCAUCUUAGGCAUUUUUUCCCCGGCUCAUUUGGACCCUUCAAGGCGUGACACAUCAUGGAUUCAUGGUACAUUACAUACAUAUACAUGUUACAUCUACCACGACAUUAUGCACACAUCACCUGAUGACAUAUAGACUGAAAAGUGUACAGAGUCCACAUGUCGGAAGCGCUGUUAGAUGACCUUGUUGCAUCGCUUGUAAUGUACACGCAGCAUGGGAGCAUUUGCAAGCUGACUAGCUGAUGGUAAAAAUGGCAAGGGGGCUGCUGCUUCUUCCACCUUAUCGAUUUGGUUCGCUUCUGAUGAUCUGUAUCAUGGUACAUAUUUCAGAGGAACUAUCUACUUGCCUGGGCUUGCCUGUUCAUGACAUCGUGAUAGUAUAAAAGGACAAAAAUCGGCUGCCCGAGUAUGCUGAAGAAGAACCAGAAUAUCAUGUUGCCCACCUGCUCAGAUCGGUACAGUUUAUGUAAGAUUAUGCAACGGGAAGAAGCAAUGGAAGAGACAGAAAUUUUGUUUAGGCGCAGCAUACCAUUAUGUUCUGGAACUUCUCUUGAAGAUAUCUCGUCAAGAAUACCAACGGUAUCUGGGGAAGACAAACAUCAGUGGUGUCAGCAUAUGUGAAAAGCAGUAGAAAGAUAUGUAUCCAAGACAGUGUAAUAUAGUUCUUUAUGGAAUGCAAUGAUGGAAAUCUGACAAACGUGCGUAAGCAUUACUUCUAUACCUGAACCAUGAUCCCAAAAAAUGCCCAGAAUUUGAAAAUGUGGCAUGGCACAGCAACACAUAUCUGCAAAUUCAACCAUGGAAAGGAAAUGAGAUUAUGAUAAACUGGCAAAUACAUGAGAAGGGUCAUAUUGAAAUGUUCUCUUUUUAAUAAAUCGGAAACAUGCAAAAUGAAGGAGAAAAGAAGCCAAUGUUCAAUAUAGAUUCUAUUGGCAACAUGCUGAGUGGAAUUCAAACCAGAACAUUUCUCAAUAACAGCAUGGAAACCCGUUGUUUCCAGCUUUGGUUGGUGUCUAUUAAAUGAAUCAGAAAUGAUGUAUAAGCAAUAAUGAUUCCAGAAGAACUACAGUACCUCAUGAAACACAGCUGAAACCAGAAAGGCGAUCAGAAUAGCUACACCCUGCAAUGUGGAUACCAUAUGAACUUGAUAAUUAAGAGCUGAGAAAAAUCAUGUCACUUCUGCAAAAUAAAGAAUAUCGUAGACCAACAAAAUUUUAUCUAUCUUCGUGUAUUUACAUAUGUCAGUCGACAUAAGGCAGAAUUAAGAAAUACUCCCUGUCCCAAAUUGCACCUAGAUAUAUACUAUGUCUAGAUACAUAGCAAAAUUUAUAUAUCUAGAAAAGCCAAAAUGAAUAGUAAUUUGGGACGGAGUAGUUCCUAGGUCAACACCAGAUAUCCUUAUGUAACCUUUCCUCAUUUUUGAUAUACAAGUAAUGCAUGUAUAUCUCUUAAAUUUGUCCCAAAUUUAUUUCCAGUUAGUACUAUCUGCAUAGCAUAUCAUUUAACAAGAAUAAAAUUCCUAACCAGUCAUAUUCUGACAUUCUCACAACAGUAUCAGCACUUGUUUGGUUGUCUUCAUUAGAAUUAUGAUCCUCAUGUGGAAAGUAAAUUAAGAUAUUAAAGUAUAUUGUUAAUUUAUUACUGUUCCGUAUGAGGAUCAUGUGGAAAGUAAAGUAAGAUAUUGAUUUGGAGCUAGCAUAGAUGGAUUGAGUGGUGGUUUCAAACUAACUACGUUUGGGAUUGGAAAGCAAAGAAAGACUUCUUAUAAACCUAUAGAAGCAAUUACCCUGGGCAAGCCUUUCCUUAUGCAUGGAAAAUAUAUAUGUCGAAUGAUCCACUUAUGAACAGGCUGAAAAAAUGUAGAACAAUUAUUAGUACUUAAAAGAUAUCAAUGCCAAUUAAUUAGACAACUAUCUCAGGCUUUGUGACAGGUCUUAUCAGUCACUACCAUAACAAUUGUAUUAGUUAAUUAGUUACAGAUCUUAUCAGUCCCUACCAUAACAAUGGUAUUAGUCAAGUAAUGGACAUCUAGAUAGAUAAGAGUAAAGAAGUAUGAAGAUGUAGGUAACAAGAAGAUUACCAUGUUCCACAUUCUCCAGUACUGAGCCAAUCCCAAAAUAUGAUCACAUUAAAAUGCAUGGAAAUAUAAUUAAUGUCAGUCCUAUUUAAACUUUCACUUGGAAAAGAAAUGAACUCAGAUUUUAGCAGGCCUCUCACCUCUUCAACAGUUUUGGCAUUCCACCAGUCCUUAUAGAAUUCACGAUCACCAAAACGAAGAAGUUCAGCUAGAAUGUUCAGCCUGGAACACAAAAAAUGGAUGAAAGCCAUGUAAGAAGAAACAUCAAAUUCAGGUCAAUAACCACUUGGCCUAUUGUAGAUAACCACCAUAUCUACCAAAUUUAAGGUACUUUUGGCACACGUGGUACCCAACUGAAGUAAGAUACUAACCAUAAAUGGAAAAAGCAAUAGAACAUGCAAAGCCAUACAUAUAGUGUUGGCACAGAGAGUUUCAAGACUCUCUCUAUAGCAUUCAAGAAAUUCCCCUUCAGUGGAUGCUUAGAAUUCUUCACAAUUGGAUUUAUGUACUGCAAAGUAAAAGAGAUUGAGAAUUUAAUUCAAGACCCUGUACAAAUAAAUAUUACUGCAAAGUAAAAGAGAUUUGAUAAUUUAAUUCAACCCUGUACAAAUAAAUAUUACUUAAGGAACAUAGAAGGCUUACUUGCUCAAUUAUGAAGCCCAUCAGGCCUGUAAAAACAAGGCACUUAACAAGUUGUCGGAUCACCCAGCCCUUCCUAAUACAUGUAGUUCGAGGAUAAGUUGGCUGCAUAAUGCACCAAAGUGAAGUUAGGACACUCAUGUUUUGUCUCUAGUGUAACUAGAUACAUGUGAUGAAGGAAUGGAUAACAUUCACUUCAAAAAGUAAAGACAAGCCCUGUACAAGAAUACCUGGUAACAAAGUGUUGGGGCCAACAUAAAGUACACUAGACUUUUAAUGGUUGGAUCUUUCAUAUUCUCAGGAUCAACAUGAUUGCCAUAUGAAGCACCCUAUUAUAUAAGAAUAACAAUGGUAAUUACUGGCAUGAAAAAUGAGAAUAAGUGAUAUAAUCAUAUAUCCAUCCUCCUCUAAGAGUAUACCUGGUCGGCCUAUGAAAAGAAAAGAAAAAGGAACACAAUAUUUUCCUGAUGGAAGCAUAACUAAUUGGAACUAUAUUUCAUUGUGUUCAAAAAUGAACUACAUAGAAAGGUUCAGGAAAACAAACUGGAAAAGAAGUUUAAACAGGAAGAGGAACAUUGUCUAGCCUCUGUAUAAAGAUUUCACCAGCAAAAGGAAUUUUUAAAAGAGUUUGAUGGUCAAUAGAUCAUUGUUGAGAAUCAUGCAACUUGUUAAAAUAAUUCAGAAGAAUGUGUUGACAAAUUACCUUCAGAGUACUUUUGGACAAUACCCUUAUAUCAUAAUUUGUAUGUGCAUAAGAGACAAGCUUCAUCCACAUGAUGCUUGCAAGAAACAUUAGUACAAAUCCAGAUAGUACUGCUGAGUCACACCUGAAAAUUUUUAACGUAACUGAACUCAUAAUCCAGAAUUCAUGCAUGGAAGAACACCUUCUGAAGUACCAAUUCUGGGCAAUCAGAAUAUCAACAUAAACUAAAAAAAUAAUAAAAACUAAGUAGCAUAAUGCAUGAAGCAUACAACAUUCUUGAAUCCAUUGAAAAUAUAAUCAACGAAAAGGUAUAACUUUCAGCACCUGAUGCCUCUUUUUGAGGAUUAAUAUUGACUCAACCAAACUAUGAUAUAUAUGAAUUCUACUUGCAAAACAGCAACAGAAAUCCCAGAUACUGCAGUUGUUUAUCCUACUUUCAAGCACGCAAAUAAAUAUGAUUGACCUUUAUUAUACAAUAGGUGGUUCAGGUUCACUUACGAAAUGUUAUGGACACAUUCUUUGGUGCCAAGUUCCACCGCCGAAAGAAGAAACCGGCGUCAGGUUAGUUGGUUGGUUGAGAUAGAGAUAAGAUAGCUUUGGUUUAGGUUAGGAGUUUGUUAGUUGGCCGGCUGUUAAUAUAAAGCACGGCAGAGUCUUUGUAAUUCCCAAGUAGAAAGUAGUUGGAACUCUCAGAGCCUCCAGAGAGAGGGCGAGAUCCCUUCUACCUUGUACUCUCCAUUGUCCGGCAAUAUAGCCAUAUCACGAAAAGGGUUUUAAGCUUCAUCAAGUGUGAAUUGAUAUCUCUGGACUACAUACAUUCUUUUACAAUUGAUGACUCUUCGUGAACAGAUCAACACAGAGCAAGAAAAUAUAGAUUCAAGAGGUAAAUGAUCAAAGAUUAUAUAAGAAAUUUUAUCCCCAGAUACAAUUAAAUACACGUGUCAUAAGCCCCCUUUUAAACCAUCCAAUAUGCAUAGUAUAUAAUGUAGCUAAAAGGAAAGGUUGUUUGAGACACAAAAACAUGGUUCACCACCAUACCACUAAGUACAGCAAAUUAUAUAUAAUAAACGAAUUGAGUGUAUUCAUACCAUUAAAUAUAAGAGCUCAACGAAUGUCAAAAGUAGAUGCAUCCAAACAAACUGCAAAGUCAAAAAGAAAUAUUCUUACUUAAGAAUCACAACAACUGGAUAGACAAUGACAGAUGUUGUAACAAUGAUAUGGAGAAGAAUAACCACCUGCAAGAGGUGUAUACAAGUUAUAAACAGCACAAUGGAACUUAAAGCAUACAGAAUAGAAAAAGGUCAAACCCUAUACAUCUAUUAUACGUGUUAGGUGAAACAGACAUGGUUAUUAUAGAAGCACCUUCUCUAAACACUACACAAAGCUGCGAGACAAACUUACAUGUUCACCAAUGAGCUUCCUUCUAAUCAUCUUCUCAGCCAUGAACGCAAUAAGUGGGAAAAUUGGUAAAGUGAGGCUGCAAUUAACAGAAUGAUUAAUUCUGUGAAGUUUACUGCUGUUAGUUAAAAUCCAAUACAAUCAAUGAGCAAGUAUAUUUACCAGCACAUAAGAAGAGGCCAGUCUCUCAGCGAUCUUGCACUAAACCAAAAUCCAGCUCUUAUCAAUAGGCCAUACUGCAUCAGCAAAUUCAGAACAUGGAAAUGUGAUAGAUGCACACUACAAGUGUGCAGAAAGCACUAAAAUCAAAUGCUACUUCUUGAGAUGGAUAGGGAGCUGUAAAUGAAAUCAAGUGAAAUGAUAAGGUAAUGUAACAAACCUUCAUUAAAUUCUCAAUAAUGAGUCUGCUGUUCACUGCAACCAGCACAACAAUGCAUAGAUUCAGAAGACCCGCAUGGCUCUGAAAUCCAAGAGAACUGUUUAGUUCAAGGACUUCAAAUAUAUGCGGCAACCAAGAAAUAUGGCUUAGAAGUUGAGGAUUCACUCUCAGUUAAAGAAGAACAAGAUAAACGAAAUUUGAUGCACUGGCAUUGUAAUUAAGUUCUCACAUGGCUUACAAACUGAGGAUUUACUCAGUUAAAGAAGAAUAGGAUAAAAUGACAUUUGAUGUACAUUAAAAAGAAAUCCAUCCAAUAAUAUGCCCAGUCAAAUGGAGGACCAACCAGUAAGCGGUCCCAUAACAGAACAUGCCUUUUAUGGUCCUCAAGCAGAAGCAAUGCCCCCAAACAGAAAAGGCAAGUACAUCAAUCAGCAUGCACCAUACUGCACUGCGUGAACAAUGUGAUAUGUAUUGCAGUUUGAAAAGUCAACAUUUGAUACUAGGGUGCGAGAUCAUGACAUUGCUUAUUAACCCUGCAACUGCAGCCUGCAUCUCCGAAUCUGAAGCAUCUGACUGAAGUCGCAACAAUGUAACACGAAUUGUAGUUCAAAAAGUAACUCUGAAGCUGCCCAGUUAGCCCUGCAGCUGCUGCUCGAACUCUGAAGCAUCUGACACGAAGUCACAACAACUCUCUGUAUCUGUAAAGUACUACUACAACGACUCUCUGUAUCUGUACAGUACAAACAACGAAUCCAAAUGACUCGUUUGCUCAUCCGUUUCAACACACAAUGCUCUCCUAGCGGCAACAGUUACCCUCCUUGUUUGCUGCUUCGGCCGCCCGAUGCUAAAUUCUGCAUGGCAUGCAUCCGGCGCCCGCGCACUGGUCCCCCCCUGAUCCCCAAAAACAAGCAAACACCGACCUCAAUCCGUAGCAGCAUAUGCCCCCCACGAAACGAAUUGUGCCCUUCCCAGUACACGCGCAGAAUCUAUCGACGAUUCGGGAGGUAACCGACGCGUACUAAGCUAACAACAGCACAAAGCGCGAUUCCAACUCAAAAGCAGAGGCAGAGUUGACUCGAAGCAACAAGGUGCAUGGAUCGAAGCACGUUCACGGGAAGGCAGAAAUCGGUAGGGAUACGACGAGACUGUGCAUUGGCGCCUCCUCACCUGGCGGAAGAUGGCGUCGGAGCUGAGGGGACUCUCCUUGACGCGGCGGUGCGCGGGUGCCGACGCGCGGAAGUACAGCAUCUCGUGCUGCUGCUGCUCCUGCUGCGGACUCGGCGGUGGGCGCGGCUCGCCGUUCUCCCGGCGGCCGCCGGUGGAGUCGAGGGCGAGGCCGCUGGCGUCGGCGGAGGGGGCGUGGCGUAGGCGGAGCGAGGAGUCGCCCGCGCCCGCCUCGGACCCUGGGCCGGCGUGAUCGGAGGCGGCCGCCAUGGAGGGGGGCGGGGCCAUAGGAGGAAGGUUCCGGAAGGUUCGGCCCCGGGGUUUGGGGCUGCGGGACUUGGGGAGCGGCGGUGGCGGUGGUGGUGGGGGAAGGAGGCGAGGCGAGGAGGCGGGUUUUGAUGCGGGGUGUUGGGCUGCGGGCGGCUGACGCAGGACGGCAGGAAAGCACCGGGGGCGGGAUGGCCGCCUCGAAAAGCGGACACUUGGCUGGCAGGGCCCGGUCGGGUCGGGCGCGUCGGCGCAGCCGCUUCGCCGGGGCGUGCCGGCUGUCGGUUUGUUUGGAUACUUGGAUCCGGCGUGCGAGCGCUGCUGACUGCGGAGAUUGGCACGUCCCGGGAACCGAUUUUUUAAGUGUACAACUUUCAUUCGCACCGAGAAAACAAACAAUUCUUUGAGGGUGAAAAGAAACAGAUACUAUUAACUUCAAAUUGCUCAUGUUGAUAUAAAAGACAUGCAUAACUUUCGGUGAAAAAUUGUAUAAUGUGAGAUCCAGUGGAAGGUACGUGUGCCCAAGGACGUUCGAAGAGUGAACUUUGAACGGAGAAACCAAAUUUUAACCUGAGCUACUUAUAACUUCGGUUUCCUACAGGCCUACAGGAAAACUAGAAUAGUAAUCACUGCCCGAUUUGCAGAAAUUACCUAGAGGUUUGAGUAGGCGGGCGACGGCAAUGUGUUAUUAAGUAUCUCUUGUUUAUGGCUGGGAUUCAAUGGUCAUUUCAUCGUCUAUUUGUGUGAGAUAUCUAUGGAAAAGGCUACAGAAAAUAAAAAAAAAUUCAAGGAUGUGAUUGCAUUGAGUACAUUCCACUUUCACAGUUUCACCUCUAUUUAGCCGACAAGAAAAAUAUUUAAAUGUCUUAUCUUGAAUGGACUUCGUUACCCCGUGCACGAACAUGACUAUUAGUACUUUUCACAUGAUGCUUGAUGACGCUCGAUAAAGAAAACAGAACUAGUAAUAUCACUGUAUAUAUUAUAAUUAUCGCAAAUUUUCUCCUUCCAAACGAGAUAAGACCGCUCCGCGAACCGUAGUGGACACACUACGACGAUGAGUCCUGUCGGUGCGAAAUCUGGUUGAUAAGUAAAUAUUUGUAGCUUUGCCGUGCAUUAGAUCAGAUAUGACCUAGAACACAAUAACACAAGAUGUAUACUGGUUCGGGCAACGCGCCCUACGUCCAUUCGGGGUCAAUCGGUCGACUUUAUUCCUGAGCCCAGGUGCUCAAAGUUUGUAGUGGGGGUACAAACAAGAGGAGUAUAAGAGGGGGGUGCCUGAGUCCUGACCUUGUUCUCGCUCAGUGGAAGCGAGUGGCAGGAGCUCAUACGAGCGCUAAGUGUGUGUGAAUGCGUAAGAGUGUAAGAGGGUGUGUCUCUGUCUCCGUGUAGAAGCGAGGGGAGGGGUUUCCAUCCCCUUUUUAUAGUAAAAGGGGACGGUCCUUACAGGUCGAGGGAGGAUAAGAGAGUGAGUGUAUGGGUCUGUCUAGUCUCGUCGAAUCCCACGUCGGUGGAUACAGUAUGGUCUCUGUCCUCGGUCCCUGUUCUCCUUGUCAGACCGCUACACCGUAGCAUGUAGGUUUAUGGCGUCACUGUGCAGACGUGCGCAGGGCAUGGCGCGGUACGACCCUGCGUACAGCAUGCUGACCCAGGUGUUGCCUCGUUAUCCGUCCCACCUGCUCCUUGGGCCCACUCCGGGCGGGUGCCCUCGGUCGGGUGUCCCAGUCCGCCUUGACCGAGUUAGUCGGGGAGGUCAGUGCGAGUGGUACGGUGAGUCCCCGAUCGGGGGAUUAGGUCGAGAGCACUCAGUCGGGAGCGCUCGAUCGGGAGUACUCAGUCGGGGUUGGACUGUGGUCCCACCCCCGGCUAGCUCCUUCUAGUCGGGGCGCCUUCCAGGCCUCCUGGUUGGAGGAGACGGUCAGCAGCCGAGUCGUGUCGGUCCAGCUGUGCGUAGUGGGCCGGCCCUGGUACACGUUGUUGUUGUACCCUUUAUUGGGCUAAGCGUCGCGGGAAAGUAGUCCCAUUGGGGACCUCGGGUCUAUGGACCCGUCAGGAGCCCCCGAGCCCCUUUGGGGCUUUGUUGAAGCCCUUAAGGGGCUGUCGGUCGAAAUGCCCCGUCGCAAGGAAGCACACAUAGGGGUGUUGUUUAUUUUUGUUUUGUUUACGAAGCGGUCGGGCCACAUUGAGGGGUCUGGCCCCAUGUUCGAGAUGAUAAGGAUGGACUCCAUGUGGGAGCCAUACCGGUGCCUCGUGACCCAGUACGUUCGCCUCAAUUUUCGGCAUACAGCGGUCGAACCGUCAUCUCAAGGCCAGAUGCCUUUAAUGCACAGGCGCUGAACCGUCACCCUAGCGUAAGGAAUUUUUAUCGUGCAUCCAUGGACGUGAAAUGUAACCGCUCCCGGAUCUCGGCUGUUCGCCCGGCUAUAAAUAGGGAGGCUUCCGCAUCCGGAGCCCCCAAGGCUCAGGUUGUAGAUCCCAUGGCUCAGGUUGUAGAUCCGGUAGGUUUGAGGCUCUUGCUCGUUGCCCUAGGCGACUUUGGCCACUCUAGAUGAUGCUAGAAGAUCUCUCGUAAUAGGUGUUCCACCUCCUUGUCCCAGUCUCCUUCAGCAUGCCCGGGCACCACGAUGCAAGAACUCUCGUAUCAUGGAUCCGCCGUGCAAUGAGGGGCUGGAUGAGAGGACCAGGGCAGCGCCACAGGAGGAAGAGGGAUCAUGGCCUCCUUGUCCUCCAUGCCAUGCUCGUACCUUGGGCCACCGAUUGCCGGAGGUCAUUGUUUUGGCCUACCUUGCGCAUGGCCGCGGCGGCGGUGGAGAUAUGUAGGUGUCGAUGGCCAUGCGCGGCCUCGAGCCAGUUUACCUAGGGAUCUGGAGUGCAGUUCUCGUACUCCCUCCACGCCUUUUCUUCCUGUACCAGGUCACCACAGAGGGAGGAGAGAACUUCGCACAGCUUCCUAUGCUGCCUGGGUUCCCUCAUCUUCCACUCCCCCUGGUGUCUCUCGCUCAGAAGGAGGAGAUUGGAGAAGAUUCGGCGAGGAUGGGUCGGCGAGCGAGGUUUCGAGUGCAACUUUCUUAUAUGGCUUGUGCUCUUUUUGUUUCUUUCGUUCCUAAGUCAUUGGGUGGUCCCUGGGCUAUACUUGCACGCUUUGCAUGAUAUUGUAAAGCCUUUAGGCUCCUGUGUUCGCACGCUUUGCAUGAUAUUGUAAAGCUUUUGGCUUAUGUCUUUGGCUUAAUGAAAGCUUAUAUUCAACAUGUGAAUCUUGUGCCCACCGCGCCAUAGAGGCGAACUGUUGUUGGGAUUUUUGGCCUUUUUCCCUUUGUUCACUGCGUUGCGUAGGGUAGCCGAGUAGUCCGGGCAUUCUAGCCUCUGAGUAAGUGCAGACGCCUUGCUCUCUAGGGGAUGACCGGCAGAGGCCCCGGGGGCACGUUAGAUAGACUCUAAUGCCCAGCUCCCAAGGAGAUUGCUGGCGUGGGCCGUAGGGGCACGUCGAGUUGUAGAGGGUGCCCGGCUCCCAAGGAGGGGACCUGUUUGUAGUCCAUUUACCGCUGGGUUCGCGCGAGUGGACCCAGUGGGUCUAGCCCCCGUGCCUGCGGCAGACUAAGGAGUCAGUCGAAGGCUAAGCAUUUUGGUACCCCUUUGACCAGAAGCGAGUCGAGUGGACACUAGCACCCUUCUCCCGAGAAGGAGGACCCGUUGUCAGUCCAGUUUCCACUGGGUCCGCGCGAGCACACCCGGUGGGUGUAGCCCCCAAGCCUACGGCCUACUGGAGAGUCGGUCAAUGGCUGAGCACUUAUGUAUUCUUUUCUGCGGCCGCGGACUUUGGCGUCUCCAUCGAUCAGGAUGAGGUGGUCCCUCUUGCGGGUCGAGGUACUUGCCUGUGUUCGUUCUGACCGCGACUUGUGUUGUCAGUCACAUUCCCGAGUCGGGAUAUGGCGGCUCGAGCCCCCAAGUCCUGUUGGGCUCGGUCGGCAUCGGUCGAGUUUCAUACGUCACCCCAUCCGCGGUCUCCGUGACCGGAGGGGCUGAGCUAACGUCGCUUGCCUCGAUGGCUUGAGUGACGCACUCAAUGAGCUCACUAACGGGCAUGUCCGAGUGGAAUCCGGGUUCAUCGUUCAUAACAGGGUCAGCAUAGCCCUCAUGUGGCAUUCCACUGCUCCUUAACCUGCCUCCCGACAGAUGCUCGAGCCAUUCCGGAGACCGACUCAGGUUGCCCGCUGGCCUUCCCUCAAUGGAGAUUCUGUGGGCGUGGCUCGAGGUCAGGAUCAAACAAGAAGGUCGAGAUGAUCCCGUCCGCUUCUGAGAAAGUUGGGUGAAGGCUACUGGGGCUUCAUCUGCAUUUCCCCCCUAGCUCUGUUUGAUGCGAGGCGGCCUUGAGCCCUUCGCGGGUCGGCCUUCGAGCCUCGGUCGGUCGCAACUCAUAUCGAAUGAACCACUAUUGCUUCAUGACGCGAUGCAAAAGCAAUUGAAAUGCAAUGAUUGCAUGUAUGGGGUGAAUGUACAGUGCAUGAAUGCAUGCACACAUGAGAUGGAUGAAUGAAUGAGUGCUUGUUUGCAGAGCGAGUAAACGAGGGGGGGUCGGUAAUGUUACCUCGAUCGAACUCUCGGGCAUCGCCCCAUCUACGGUUUUCGCAACCGGAGAGCUAGCGUUGCUUGUCUUGACAGUUCGAGUGACAGGCUCGAAGCACCCUUAGCAGGUACGCCCGAGUGUAUCCAUCACUCGUGAUGGGGUCGGUCAUGUCCUACACGUUAGUUCGUUCGAGUGACAGGCUCGAGGCACCCUUAGCAGGCACGCCCGAGUGGAAUCCGUAUCCGUUGUUUGUGACGGGGUCAGUCACGCCCUACAUGUUAGUGUUCCCCUGCUUUUACCUAUCUCCCAUCAGAAGCCUGAACCGUCCGACUAACCCAGGUGCCCACCAGCCUCGGUUUUACGAAGGCUCUGACAGUGGGUCCCUCCGCUCCGUCCGACUGACCCGAGCGCCUACUGGCCUCGGUUCGGUGGAGGUAUUAAUAGUGGCUCCCUCCGCUCCCCUGCCUCAUAAGGUGAAAGGGUGCUUGCGUGUGGUUGUGCCCCGUUUUUUGCGGCUUUGCUGCAUGAGUAGGUGGGCCCAUCCCGAGCCACGCCCCGUCGCGUAGGGUCACAUCCCGUCAGUUGCAUCCUAUCCGCCAGGGCUCCGCGCCCCCUUCCCUAAUGAAUAGGGGGAGGGGCGGAGGUCUUCUGGCCCAUCCUUUCACCUUUCCUCGAUUGUUGUCUCUUCCUCUUCCGCUCUUACGCUAAAGCUUCCUUGCACACUGUGGUGAGUUCCGAGAGAGAGAGGAGGGUCAAGGGUGAAAGCGAAAGAAGUCUUACAGAUCUGUUCGUCACCUCCCAUUGCGCGAUGUCGAAUUGGAGGGCGUCCAUCGUGAAGGAGGAACUGCUGGAGGACUUCAUGAGGAAGGGAUUGCUGCCACCGAAGACAGUUGCAGGUUGGAGAGCGCCAGAGGUGGGGGACGUCGUCCCGCGCCCCGGGCCCAGCAAAGGUCGUCUCCUUCCUCGCUUUCCACGAGCACGGGCUUGGAUAUCCCGCGCAUUGGUUCCUGCAUGGGCUCCUCCACCACUGGGGGUUGGAGUUGCAGCACCUCAACCCCAACGGGGUGCUGCAUAUUGCCGGCUUCAUCACCGUUUGCGAGGCCUUCCUCCGGAUGGAGCCGCACGUGGACCUCUUCGUGAAGUUUUUCUUCGGGGGAGCAUGGUCCGAGGAAAGGGGGAAGCCGAGCCUGCCAGCCCUGGUCGGGGGGUUCGCACUUCAGAGGAAACCCAAGGUCGCGUACCCGCCGUACACCCCCAACGAUUCUAAUCGGGGAUGGCAUGGCGAAUGGUUCUACAUUCGGAACCCGGCAGAGGCGCCGUUCCCAGAGUUCACUGGAGGGAGGCCGUUGCUGCGAUGGAGAGUAAGUCCCGCCAUCCCGAGAGUUUGAGGCGGGGUCGUACCCCUUUUCUGCCUUCCACUGACUUUGUCUCCUGUGCAGUCCUGGAGGGGCAGUCACUUGGAAUGCGGAGGCGUUGGCCUGGUCCCUGGCAGAACGGUCCACCCUCACGGAUGAGCUCAACCAGCUCCGCGACAUGGUGCAGGUGGUGGUGAUUGAGGUGCUUGGGUCAGGCCUGAGUACCAGCAGGCCUGUUAUUAAGCUUGAGGAGGUCCCGAACACGGUCAAAAUGCUUAUCUCCAACGGUGUGUUCCAUGGGGCAUCGGGGGUGUUGAUGUCUGUGGCGACCCACUACCCCGACAUGGACUUCGAGGCAGUCUGCAGAGGGUAUGCUGACGAAAGGAGCUUCGAAGAUCUGGGUGCUAGGUCAGAGCUUGGUCCCGAGCGCACGAACGAUCGUCGCGCACGUGACCGCGACAUGGGUCAUGGAGGCUCGCCGCUCGUGGAUGGUCGCACGCGCAAGUCAGGAGGGUGCCACCAAUCCUGACACAGUGGUGUAGGCUGAGAUGGAGUCGGGUGUUGCGCCGACCGAAACCAACCCGAGCAUUGGCCCGAUUGUGACUAGGAAGCCCUCAUCCUCGUCGGCAGCACCGCCGACCAACCUGGCCGAGGGGGAGCAGUAGAAAAAGGGUAGUUAGUUUCUUUGUGUAUGUAAGAAAUUGCGGGGCGAUCGUGAGCCCCAAGUGAACAAUUUUAAGUUCGUUUGUGGUUGUGACGGAGAGCUGGUCCCACCCAUCCUUGUUUUUGCCCUUAAGCAAUUUCCGCUUUUUCACACUUUUCCUUUCAGACCUGCCUAUUAACCGUAGGCUACAACUUUAAGAACCCGGGCGUGGCCCACGAGGCUCAGCUACUCGUAACCAUAGUCGUGGCGGGGUCCGAUCGGUCCGCAAGCUAGAGCAUAAGUUGCUCUUAGGGUGAGUUAAAGGAUGGGAUGCCCUUUCAUUUGGGUGCGCCCUUUCGCUUGGGCGUGGUGCGUGGUUACACAAAAAGUAAAGAGGGAGUGGUGCCGCACCUCCGUAGAGCCCUCGAGUGACCGGGCCUAGACUGCUCGGGCCGGGGUGCUAUAGGAGCAAGUGUUGAAUGGAAAUGGACUGGUAAUGAACUGAGCUAAGGAAAGAAAUGAUGUAACUGCUCGAUGUUCCAAGUGUUCGUGAGGAUGUUGCUAUCAUUGUCCUUCAGUCGGUAGGCGCCUGGUCGGAUCACCUCGACCACCGCGUACGGUCCUUCCCAUGGCGGAGAAAGCUUGUGCUUGUCCUUGGUUGUUUGGGUCCUUCGAAGCACGAGGUCGCUGACCUCGAGGGUUCUUCCUUGAAUUUUCCUCUCGUGGUACCUGCGAAGGGUUUGUUGGUGACGGGUGGAGUGAAUGGGCGCCGUCUCGCACGCCUCAUCGAGCAGGUCAACAGCAUCUUGUUGAGCCUCUGCGGCUUGGUCGGGGUCGAACACCUUCACCCUUGGAGCGCCGUAGUUGAGGUCGGAUGGCAAUACCGCCUCAGCACAGUACACCAUGAAAAAGGGGGUGAACCCUGUCGACCGGUUUGGGGUCGUGCUUAGGCUCCAGAGGACGGCUGGGAGCUCCGCGACCCAUGUUCCAGCAUGUUUCUUGAGCCAGUCAAAAAUGCGUGGCUUGAGUCCUUGGAGGACCAUGCCAAUGGCCCGUUCAACCUGACCGUUGGUCCGCGGGUGUCCGACUGAGGCCCAGUCGACCCUGAUGCCGUAACCAUCGAAAAAAUCCAGGAACUUCUUGCUGGUGAAGUUGGUUCCGUUGUCUGUGAUGAUGCAGUUAGGGACACCGAACUGGUAGAUGAUGUCGAGGAAGAACUUGACCGCAUUUUGUGAGCAGAUGUUGGUGAUGGGCUUCACCUUGAUCCACUUGGUGAACUUGUCCAUCGCCACGGGCAGGUGGGUAUGACCUCCUAGGGCCUUUUUGAGGGGUCCAACCAUGUCGAGGCCCCAGACCGUGAAUGACCAGGUGAUGGGGAUGGUCUGGAGUUCCCGCACCGGUAGGUAGUUUGCCAAACGUAGAACUGGCACCCCUCGCACCUACAGACCACCUCCUUAGCAUCGCGUAGUGCUGUGGGCUAAUAGAAACCUUGGCGGAAAGCUUUCGCGACCAGCGAACGCGGGGCCGCGUGAUGUCCGUAGAUUCCGGCAUGGACUUCGAGAAGAAGUUGUUUCCCUUGGUCAGUCGGGAUGCACGUCAUGAGUACCCCCGACGGACUUCGUUUGUAAAGUUCAUCGCCAGUGGCAACGAACGUUUUGGCGCGUCGAGCGAUCUGUCGCGCUUCGGCCCUCUCUGGCAGGAGGACUUCUUCGAGGAUGUAGGCGAGCAGCAGCACCCUCCAGUCAGUCGGGUUGAGUGCCACCACCGCGGUGUCCGGGUUGGAGCCCUUGAGCCCUUGGUCGUGGUCAGGCCGAGCUGAUGGGUUGGAGCCCUCGAGCGGCUAGUUGGGGCUGGGCUGCGCCUGUGUCGGACUCACCUGGAUGCGGACGGAUGGCUCGUGGAGGUCAUUCAUGAAGACCCUAUCUGGGGGCGAAUCCUGCUUGGCCGCCAACUUCACUAAGGAAUCGACAGCAACGUUGUCCCUUCGCGGGACGUGGUGCAGCUCGAUUCCUUGGAACUUGCCCUCGAGCUUGCGCACCUCUUGGCAGUACGCUACCAUGAGUGGAUUUUUGCAGGAGGACUCCUUCAUGACUUGGUCGACCACUAGUUGCGAGUCGCCGCGGACGUAGAGCCGCGUCGCGCCGAGCUCAAUGGCGAUACGUAGCCCGUUGAUUAGGGCUUCAUAUUCUGCAAUGUUGUUUGAGGCCUUGAAGUGGAGGCGGAUUGUGUAGCGGAGCCUGUUUCCCUCUGGGGAGACCAGGACCACUCCAGCCCUCACGCUAGGUCCCAUGAUUGACCCAUCGAAGUACAUCAUCCAGUACUCAUGGGUGAUGUCUAGGGUUGGGGCCUAGACCUUCGUCCACUCGACAACGAAGUUAGCCAGGGCUUGAGACUUAAUCGCAGUGCGAGGGGUGUACCUGAAGUUGUACCCCAUGAGCUCGAGCGCCCACUUGGAGAUCCAGCUCGCGGCGUCGCAGUUGCGGAUUAUCUCUCCCAGCGGGUAUGAGGUGACGACUGUUACCUUGUGCUCGGUGAAGUAGUGCAAGAGCUUUCGGUUUGCCAUCAGCACGGCGUACAGAAGCUUCUAGACUGCAGGUAGCGCACCUUGGCGUCGGUGAGUACCUCACUGAUGAAGUACACUGGUCGCUGGACCUUCAGCACGUGUUCGGGCUCCUCCCUUACAACGAUGAGAAUGGCGUUGACGACGUGGUCACAUGCCGUGAUGUAGAGGAGGAGGGGUUCCUCUCGUCCAGGAGCGACGAGGACCGGGGCUGAGGUCAUCAACGAUUUGAGGCUCUCCAAAGCCUUUUGUGCCUCUUCCGUCCAGACAAAUACGUCCGAUUUCUUGAGGAGCUUGUAGAGCGGCAUCCCCUUCUCGUCAAAUCGGGAGAUGAACCGGCUCAAAGCGGCCAAGCAACCUAUGAGCCUUUGUACACCCUUAACGUUGCGUGUGGGACCCAUAUUUGCGAUGAACAUGAUUUUUUUAGGGUUGCCUUCGAUGCCAUGCUCGGACACGAUGUACUUGAGUAGCUUCCCCCUCGGAACCCCGAAAACGCAUUUCUUGGGAUUCAGUUUAAUGCUGAACCUUUGGAGGUUCGCGAACGUUGCGGCUAGGUUCGCGAUUAGGUCGCUUGCCCGAGCCGUCUUUACCACUAUGUCAUCCACGUAGACGGCAAUAGUGGCCUUUGGCCGCUCGACCUGGUCGGGUUGGUCGGGCGGGUUGAUUUGGUCGGCGAAACACCGUUGCAUGAACCACUGGUAGGUGGCACCGGUGUUCCUUAGACUAAAAGGCAUGGUCACGUAGCAGUAAAACCAUACGGGGUGAUGAAGGAGGUCGCGACCUAGUCGAACUCUCUCAUCGCAAUCUGGUGAUAGCCCAAGUAGGCAUCCAAAAAGGAGACGAUUUCGCAUCUUGAGGUGGAGUCGACUCUUUGAUCUAUGCGUGGUAAAGGAAAAUGAUCCUUAGGACACGCCUUGUUAAGGCUAGAUUAGUCAACACACAUUCUCCAUUUCCCAUUCUUAUUUUUAACAAGAACUGGGUUAGCGAGCCAGUCGGAAUGGUACACCUCCUUGAUAAAAACCGACCGCUAGGAGUUUGGCGAUUUCCUCACCUAUAGCUCUACACCUCUCAUUGUUUAAGUGGCGCAGUCAUUGCUUGACGGGCUUCGAGUUUGGGACGAUGCGUAGCGCGUGCUCGGCACUUCCCUCGGGAUCCCCAGCAUGUCAGCAGGCUUCCAUGCAAAGAUGUCCUGGUUGGCGCGCUGGAAGUCGACGAGCUUAGUUUCCUAUUUGGCCAGGGGCUUGGCCUCGACCCGCACCAUCUUGGUCAGGUUGUUGGGGUCAAUCUCCAGCGCCUUGGUUUCCUUAGUUGGGCUGAAGGCGCUCGCGGCGGUCGGCUCGUUGUAGUCGGGCAUUGCCGGCUCCGCCUCCUUCCCGAGCUUCGAGAGCUCGACAGAGUUGGCGAGGCCGGUGGCGAGCUCGAUGUUCUCAUGAUCGCACGCAUAGGCAUAUGAGAACGUGCAGGUUUCAGGUUCGGGGAAGCCAUCCCCAUCCUUGCCCGUCGCGGCUUCCUUGUUGGUUGCGUCCUCCUUGCUCUUGCGCUCCUUUGGCUUGCCGGCUUGCCGCAGGAAGCAUUUGAGGAGUUCGCAGUUCUUAUAGAGGUGCUUGAUGGGGUAGGCGUGGUUGGAGCAGGGGCUCUCUAUGAGCUUCUCGAAGUGAUCGUGCUGGCCCGGCUAGUGCUGUUUGCCCGGUCGGUCAGCCACAGCGACCAAGGUUGGGUUGGUCAGGCGUCGCCGAUCCUUCUUGUUCUUCUUGCCCCGUUGCGUGGAGGGGCCUUCGUCCUAAUCUUCGCGCUUAGCCUUGCCCUUGUCCCGCCCGCCGCUAAAGACCGCCCCAACCGCCUCCUCACCGGAGGCUUGAUUCAUAGCGAUGUCGAGCAGCUCGCGGGUGAUCCGGGGCUUAGCACAGGUGAGCUUGUGUACUAGGGACUUGCACAUCGUCCCUGAGAGGAACGCGCUAAUGACGUCUGCGUCGAUGAUGUCGGGGAGGGAGUUACAUUGCUUCGAGAACCUAUGGAUGUAAUCCCGCAAGGUCUCGUUAGGUUCCACCUGGCAACUUUUAAGGUCCCAGGAGUUCUCGAGGCGGACGUACAUCCCCUGGAAGUUUCCUAUGAAGACCUUCUUUAGAUCCGACUAGUCACGGAUGUUGUCGGGCGGAAGGAACUCGAGCCAUGCCCGAACGAACUCCCCUAUGGAAAUGGGGAGAUACUGGAUGAUGAAAUAGUCAUCAUCGGCUCCUCCGGCUCGGUAGGCGAGCCGGAAGUCUUCAAGCCACACUCCGGGAUUCGUCUCCCCAGUGUACUUAGUAAUGUUCAUGGGUGGUCGGAACCGCUAUGGGAAAGGUGCCUUUUGGAUGCGGCGAUCGAAGGCCCGUGGUCUCGGUCCGUCUGGGCUAGGGCUCCGGUCACCGUUCCGAACGCUCGGACGGCUGCCUCACCUAGGGCGCACUUCUUCAUGCUCCUCGUAGAACCAGUCACGGGCCGCAUCGACCGCUUUUGCCACAAUUUGUUCAACGUCGGUGUCGUGUCGCGCCAAACGCCGUGCGUGGAUGACGCUGUGCGCAUCAUGGUUCGGCCCGAUCCGCUCGCGCACGGGCUGACAGCGCGGCGCCGGCGCCGGGUCGGGCUGUGGAGCUGACACAGCGCUCCGCCCUGGCCAUCGCGCCGGCGGGGGUGAGCGGACGGAGCGGUUCGGCUGGUGCGGCCCCAGCACGCUGAUUGGGCAAGAAGCUGCAUGUCGUUGUCGUGACGCGGAGCUCUCCACCUGCUGUAUGGCGGCAGUCUCCACCAGCACUCGGAGGUUCCUGUGUAUUGCCUGCUCCUGGGGGUCAGCUGGCUCGGGGAGGCUACGCAGAAGCAUCGCUGCGGCGGUGAUGUUCUAUCCGGCCUGAGCGAACUGCGGGAGGUCGUCCCCUCCUGCCAGGAUGUUGCACUGGACCUGGCGGGCACUCUCUGCCGGGUUGCGCGCGUGCGGUACGAAGUGAUGCGCCGGGCGCACCGGCGGUGGCGGUUGCUGGUCCUGCUGCCGCUAUCGCAGUUCAUUGCCAUGCGCCUGCGCUUGCGCCAGGGCCUCCCACGCGGUGGUUUGGCAGGGUGUGAGUCUCGACAGACUCUACCACAUCCGGGAGUAGUUCCAGAGCGUCCGCCAUGGCGCACUCCCGGGACAGAGAAUGGUCAAGUGCCAUCACGUCGCCAAUGCUCGAGUCGUCGCUUUCGAGCUCGUCGGCGCAGAGGUUGUGGAACGAGGAGGGGGCGUAGUCUGCCAUUCCCACAAACUCGCACGGGUAUAGAGACAACGUAAUGACCCUCCAAAGCCCCCGUGCAUACGCGUCCACGGGGGACGCAAGACCGAAGGGGAGCCAGACGCACGGCGGAGACAGCAGAGCGCCCCCGGAGAGCUGGCUGAAAAUGUUAGCCAGUGAAUACAUGACAGUAUCCACGUCGUUAACCGUGGGGCUCGUACCCAACACGGACUCGAUGUGGAGCGCAAGCGCCUCCACAUCAAGAUCGUCGAGUGGCUCGUGGACGAUGAUGCGAGCCACCUUUCCCGGGGAUGCCGAGGGAGUUGUCUCCUCGCGGAGGCAGAGUACGCCGAGCUGAUGGGCGACAAAGUCCAAACUUCCGAAGUGGAAGGCUUGGAACAGCGCGAAGACAGGUGGAACCCACGUCCCAUCGAGGGUAGAAGUGGGAAACUCUAGCGAGCCGAAACGAAUCGUGUCGCUCGAGCUUGUCAUGCUGAAGGUGGCGGUGAGGUGGGCCAUCCGAUGACCUGCAGAGCGCGAAUGCAACGGCAUCUUCCCCACGGACGGCGCCAACUGUCGGUGUGAAAUCUAGCCGACAAGUAAAUAUUUGUAGUUUUACCGUGCAUUAGAUCUGAUAUAGCCUAGCACACAAUGACACAUGAUGUAUACAGGUUCGGGCAAUGUGCCCUACGUCCAGUCGGGGUCAGUUGAUCGACUUUAUUCCUGAGCCUAUGUGUUCAAAGUUUGCAGUGAGGGUACAAACAAGAGGAGUAUGAGAGGGGGGGGUGCCUGAGUCCUGGCCUUGUCCUCGUCUCAGUGGAAGGGAGUGGCAGGAGCUCAGACGAGCGCUAAGUGUGUGUUUGUGAAAGCGUAAGAGUGUAAGAGGGUGUGUCUCUGUCUUCGUGUAGAAGCAGGGGGGUCCGUCCCCUUUUCUAGUACAAGGGGACGAUCCUUACAGGUCGGGGGAGGUAAGAGAGUGAGUGUACGGGCGCUGCCUAAUCUUGUCGAAUCCCAUAUCGGUGGAUACAGUAUGGCCUCCGUCCUCGGUCCCUAUUCUCCUCGUCAGAUCACUACAUCGUAGCGGGUAGGUUUACGACGCCACUGUGCAGACGUGCGCAGUGCGUGGCGCGGUACGGCCCUACGUACGGCAUGCUGACCCAGGCGCUGCCUCAUUACCGUCCCACCUGCUCCCUGGAACCACUCCGGGCGGGCGCCCUCGGUUGGGUGUCCCGGUCCGCCUUGAUCGAGUCAGUUGGGGAAGUCAGUGCGAGUGGUACGGUGAGUCCCCGGUCAGGGGAUUAGGUCGGGAGCACUCAGUCGGCAACGCUCGGUCGGGAGUACUCAGUCGGGGUCGGACUGUGGUCCCACCCCCGGCUGGCUCCCUCUAGUCAGGGCGCCGACUAGGCUUCCUGGUCGGAGGAGCCGAUCGGCAACCGGGUUGUGAUCUCGACCUGACUGUGCGUAACCGGACCGGCCUAGGUAUACAUUAUUGGUGUGCAUUUUAUUAGACUAAGCAUGGCGGGAAAGUAGUUCUAUUGGGGACCCCGAGUCCAUGCACCGUCAAGUUCCAUCACCGUCCGAGACUAAGGCAUGUACCUAAGUUUGUCCGAGACUAAGGCAUGUACCUAAGUUUGUCCGAGACCAAGACAUGUACCUAAGUUUGUUGGCUUGUAUGACGGCAGACCAACCUACUCACUUGCAGCGGGGUGCGAGCUGGUCGCAAAGCCACUAAGCUCCGAGUUGAAUGAUUAAAACUAGGAGUGAACUAUAUAAAAGUGUCACAUCUGAUAGAGACUAAGAUCAAGUAGGCAAAAAAGAAAAGCCCGUCAGCGUGAGUAGUGGACUAAGGAUUCAUGAAUAAUGAUAUCGUCGAUUUUUCCUUGGAACAAGCUUUUAACUAACCACUGUAUUGUAAUUUUUUUUCUAACUUGAUUGUUUUAGAGUUUCAAAAAUAUUUUCAAAUGAUUAUAAUUUUAUAUGACAAAAAUACAAUAUUAAUAUAGUAAUUGUUGGAAAAAAUAUUUGCUCUAGCAAAAUAAAAUUUGGCUUGUAAAAAGAGAAGGGAGUAUACAAAUUGCUUAGAGAAUGCGAGUGUAGCUAAGAUGGUUAGGUCUACUAAAUCUCAAAAUUAGACUAGUGCUCACAUUUAAGGCAAAUUAUUCUUUCAAAAUGUGUUCGUCGACAUGUGUUCGUCGACAUGAUAUGUCUAUAUGAUGACUUAUAGAACUACGUGUGUGCCAAAUAUUAACCAGCAUCUAUAAGGAGUUUUAUUAAAAAAUUGCAUGUAGUGGAUAAUGUUAUCAUCUUAUCCACAAACUUGAUGCAUACAAUACAAUUAUCAUGAUCCACCUAACUUGAGGAGUCUGAAUAUUGGGGGCUACCUUAUUCGGUUAUUCCGUUACAAAACCUAUGGGCCAAGCUAAACCAGCGGAGCAGUUAAAAAAAAUAAUCAGAUGCUCGAUAGAUAGCGACGUGCGAUUAAACAUCUGAACACGCCGCUCUCUUUUUCUCGAAGCGGCAUCGAAUAUCGCUGCACCUUUGUGCAAGAAGAUAACGGUCAAAUUGAGAACUGAGCCCUAACUUGUCGGUAUUUCUUUGGCAGAAUAAAAAAAGGAAAAGCAAGGAAAAGGACCUGCUCAUAUUUUGUUGAGUCCACUAAUUGAUGAUGCCAGACACUACCUCUAGGGUAGUCGUAUUGUUGAAUUAUAUACCGGUGCACGAACAUGAGUGACGUAUUGCCAUAGAGUUGUUCGCUCGUCUGUAUGACUAAUACAAAGUGUUCUGUCGGCUGCACUGUUUCUAGAGUUUUUUUUUUUUUGAGAUUAAGGCAGCUCUGUUUCUAGAGAUCUUUGGGCAUCUGGCAAGAUAAUGCUGGGAUGGCGGGCUGUCAGCACCCGUGUUUCUAGAGAUUUCGAGAGGCCAGAGGACCAUCGUCUUCUCUUCCGGGCUGAUUGCAGUCCACGGCCGCCGUACACUGACGACGGUUUUCGUCUCGGAUCACGCGGAUCAGCCAUGGCUUUCCCUGAUCCGAUGCAGGUCUGCCCGUCGCCGGAAGGAACCGGACGAAUCGCCGGUUGCUGGAUCACGUGACGACGAUAAAAAAAUUAACACGCCCGUUAGAGGCUGGCAAAAAACACCAUUACAAUUCACACCUCUGAUCCCAAAUCCCUGACCAAAUGUUCUUCUCUGUUUUUCUUCCUUGUCCCGCCGUUUAGCCGCAGCAUCACCCACUUUUUGGCACGACCACGCAACAGCAUUUCUGGUCCUUUUCCGCCAUCCUACUCUACUCAACUGGCACAGCAGAAGUCAGAUGGCACACCGAACCGCACGUCGCACGCAUACCUCCUUUUCGUCUUUGGCAUGCCCACGGGCCUGGCUGAGUUAUUGCAAAAGCAUUUCACAUUUGCAGGGUACCUUGCCCAGGAUGAAAUAUGGCCAUAUGGCCAUAGGCAUAUGGCCCUUUCGGCCCUACUGUCUGUUCAAGCUUAUGCUUUUUGGAGAAACAGAUUUGCCAUCCGCAGUGCCAACAGAAACGACUUUGCUGGUGGCGAUAAGCAGAAUUUGCAUGCCUGGAUAUAGCAGUAUAGCACCAUCGGCAUCGCCAAAUAUUGCAGUUGGAUUGUCAGAUAACAGUAACACAUAGUUGCUCCAUGUAACAAGCUGCUGAGAGCGACAAAUCUAACAGGUGCGACAAAUCCUCUUCUGAGCAAAUCGUUGUCGCAGUACCUGGAAUCCAAUUUACAAAAAAGGUCUAGUGUUGUAAAAUCUAUCAUCCAACUCAACCAAGACAGCAAGCCCGAUGGAUGCCACAGUGCUAUACCAAGGCAAAUGAUGAACUGUAUACAAGUUAAUGCCACUUCCAUAGAAUCCCAGGCGGGUAUAAAUAAGCAGGCAAAGCAUUUCACUGAACAAUACAACCAAUAGGCAAACUAACCUGAAAACUCAGGGAAAAAAUAGUACUAGACAACACUACAUAUCCAUGACCGUGACAAUCUGAAGUCAUGAUAAUUAUGCAAUACAAACACCAAAUGCAUAUCUGGUCCUCAAAACAGAGCCAUUUUCUCAGUGAUAGUGUACUUUGGUGUACUGUAGAGAAAAGACAAAAAUCCAACUUCGAUCCAAAUCAAAACCUCAAACCCUUGAAAGGCAGGUCGUAUUCAACAAAUAGCAAAGAUGGCAAUACACCACUCUUUGUGGUGCAUGCUUCAGUAUGACAAGUAUAGUUCCAAGAUGACUUGAUCUGAGCAACCACUCAUACUACCAAAGCAAAUAUAAUAAAAUUACUAGUACCAUUUAAAUGACCCAGCGGUGCAUGAUGCCUAAUUGCCUAUAAGACACAAAAUCUCAUAGCAGUAUUAUCAUAAAAGCAAAUGAACAAUCCAAUUUUGUAGAUUGUUCGUGACAGAUCAUGGUCAUGUUUAUUGAACCUUCGGUAUGCACUAAGCUAAUGAAUGACUCAAGUGCAACCAUACCAAUUGACAUCCAAUCUGAAAAAAAGGGCGUGCUUGGUUCUACAGGCUUGCCUCGCUUUGCAUUGCCCGCAGAGAAAUCGAAGCUCAAAAUGUGUUUGGUCUGCUUGCUUUGCUGCCUCGCGGCCUGCACAAGCAAGCAUUUCCUUGCCAAAGCGAGCGAGCUGGAUUGGCUCUCCGCUGCGGGCAAGGCAAAGCUUGCCUGGCAAAGCAAGGCCAGGCAAGGCCCAUGUUGCUUCCAAGCAGGCCCAAAAAGAGCACCUUCAUCUUUGGAUAUGAUCCCAACAGUUCUGACAAUAUAAGGACACCUUCAAAAUGUGGUAACAUAUUAUGGAAGUUUAAAGAGAUAUUAACUUGUAUAGGAUGGGAGCCUUUUGAGUUCAAGCACAUCUAGCAAGUGAGCAACUAAGAACCUAAAUCCCAUCAAUCAUCAGUCUCUCUAUUUGCCUUGGAAAUUCAAAUAGAACACCCAACUACCCAAGCGACAGGAUACCAGAAUACUCGAACAAUAUAGCAAGUGCCUACACAUGUAUAAUGUGACACCCAUCAUUAUACUACACAAUUUAUUAUUUUUUUGCAAUUCUAACAACUGUUUCAGCACACAAACCAGUUCAAGCGCACAAAUUCUACUUAGUAAAACCCAGAAAAACCACACAUCUUAUUAUUGUGUCCUAGGAUCUCAGCUGAAACAGAUAUAUAUGAGAGAAACGCACAGGAUGAUAACAUUACUGGAAAUGAUAAUGUAGGGAGGAUUCAAGUAGGCACACAAUCCAUCAACAUCAACCAAAAUGCGAUCUCAAGUUUCUUUUCCUCAUACAUCAUCCUAAACCCAUAAGAGAAAAUCAUAAUCUUGACCCCCUUAUGUGAACCUGCAGGCGAUCUACUUCUCGGAGGAGUUGGGCCCGCGCUUCUUGCCGAAGCCGACGACGGCGGUGACGAAACGGCGGUUGUACUGCAUGCGCUUGUAGGCGCGGCCCCGGGGCUUCUUCUUCUUGUCCUGCUUCGCCACCUUGGGCGUCUGCCCGCGCACCUUCCCCGCGCGCGCAAGUGAUCCGUGCACCUUCCC